rnacentral:lncRNA from 1 species
UACUUGAAACAAAGCCAUUGUCGACACAGAGCGCCCUCUCAUCACCGCAAUGGCUUUUGAAAGAAACCUUUUGAUUGUUACUAUACUCAUCACCUUGGGGACCUUGGCAUCUGAAGCCACGUCCCGCACAUUGUACCAAGCUUCCAUUGCUGCAAAACAUGAGCAGUGGAUGAAAAAGCAUGGACGCGUUUACCAGGACAGUGCGGAGAAGGAAAGGCGUUUCCUGAUAUUCAAAAACAAUAUGGAGUUUGUCGAGAAAUUCAACAGUGAAGGGAACAUGACUUACAGCCUAUGCGUCAACCGAUUUUCGGAUAUGAGCUAUGACGAAUUCCUCAGGUAUUAUACUGGAUACCAGCAGCCCACUGAAUCAACCUCAUCCGCAGAUGCAUCAUUUACGUACGAAAACCUAAGCCCGACGGAUGUUCCCCCAAGCAUUGACUGGAGGGACAAUGGAGCUGUUACUCCGGUAAAAGAUCAAGGGCGCUGUGGUAAGAGCACCAACCACCAUAUUAAUAUGGGGCUAAGUACAUAUAUAUGUAUUGCAUUAAUUACUUUCUUCGUGCAUUCAUCCUACGGAAAUUCAUUCAUAUCCGUUUGUUCAAAUACAUGCAGGUUGUUGCUGGGCAUUUUCUGCAGUGGCAGCAGUCGAAGGGAUUACCCAAAUCAAAACUGGCAAAUUGAUCUCACUGUCUGAGCAACAGCUUGUGAACUGUGAUACAGAUAACAACAGGGGCUGCCAAGGUGGUUGGAUGGUUGAUGCCUUUGCAUACAUUAAACAAAACGGAGGAAUUACCAGUGAAGAAAAUUACCCAUACCAGAGUUUAGAUGGCAGUGAAGGAACAUGUGAUAUGAACAAGGCAAAAGAGGCUGCUGCCCGGAUAACUAGUUAUGCAGAGGUACCUCCCAACAGUGAAACCGAUCUACUCAAGGCUGUGUCCAUGCAACCAGUCUCCGUUGCCAUCAAUAUGUCACCAGCCUUUCAGCAUUAUUCAGGCGGGGUGUUCACCGGUGAUGAUUGUGGGACAUCAUUGGACCACGCUGUUACCGUCAUUGGGUAUGGGACAACUGAUGAUGGCACCCCCUAUUGGUUAAUCAAGAAUUCAUGGUCCGAUACGUGGGGUGAGAAUGGCUACAUGAAGAUUCUUAGAAACGCUGAAGCCCCAGGUGGUGUUUGUAGCCUCGCUACGAAAGCUUCCUAUCCGACUAUGUAAUGUAUUAAUGAAAGGGUGGAGUGAGCUUCUCCACUUUGCCUAUAGGUUAUAAGUACUACAGACAAAAACCAUAGGCUGUGAAAAUGCCUGUAUUUUGUAUUUGCUAAAAGUAUGGUUUAUGAAAUUACACUAUUUUUGUUGUGCUAGGAUAACACCAAAACCAAUUGGAACCAACUCAAGCUAACCCACAGGAAAUUUAUCAAAUGAAAAUGCAAGAACAAAAUAUAAAAGACACCAAGAUUUUAACGAGGUUCCUCAACAGUCAGUGUAACUGGAGUACGUCUUCGGAGCAGUAGGAGCUCACCCAAUAAUCCACUAUCAACCAAUUGGGAGUUUACAAAGUGUUGGGAAUCUCACAACCCAAAUAACUCAAUACACCAAAUAGCUCUCACACACCACAGAAAAAAUAGAGAAAGAAAUAUAAUGAAUAAUUUCUUCUCUAUACAUAUAGCUCAAUGUUAUUUCAACAACAACCACUUUGGUGGAUGAUUACUAACCAAAUGAAGCAUCAUCUUCUUCUUCCUUUUGGGCUCUCUACAACUCUCCUUGCUCUCGGCAGCUCUCACUUCUCUCUUCAGAAAAAAAUGAGCCCCUUCUUCUCUUUUUUUUCUCUUCAUCCGAAGAAAACCAAUAAUUAUGGCUUUGAAAAAGCCACAAAACAAGGAAACAUAAUCAUGAUGCCUCCUCAUCAUUAUGUCCUUCAAUCUUUUGUUUUGUUUACUAGCCGAAAGUGAAUGCCAAGUUGGCCACUAAUUUGGCCAUUAUCCAACAAUCUCCACAUUGGCCAAAUUCCGAAAACACCAUUAUAAGCCAACCAACACAAAAAACACUCCCAAACACAACCAAGAGAACAACUCAUACUGAGCCAAAUGCUCCAAAACUCCUACUGCUCAUCACCUUCUUUAUAUAGGCAAAAUGUGAGCCAAGUUCAAGCAAUGAACAAACUUGGCUACACCAACAACCUCAGUCAACAUAUCAACGGGGUUGUCAUUAGUUGGAAUGUCUGGAGAAUGAUUUCUCCUUCACCAACAACUUCACGAACAAAGUGAUAACGCACAUCUAUGUGCUUGGUCCUUGCAUGGUGAACAUGAUACUUAGCCAAAUAAAUGGCACUCUGACUAUCACAAUGCACCUGCACCUGCUUCUGAUCCACCCCCAAAUCUCUAAUCAGCCUAUGUAUCCAAAUGGCCUCCUUUAUAGCUUCAGGAACUGCCAUAUAUUCAGCCUCUGUAGUAGACAAGGCAACAGACGACUACAAAAUGGACCUCCAACAAACUGGCCCUUUAGCCAUAGUAAACACAUAGCCUGUAGUAGACUUCCUUCCAUCCAGAUUACCUGCAUAAUCUGAAUCAACAUAACCAACUGCAAAAUGACCAAUACUAGAGUCAUCCCUCUCAAAACAUAAACCAACAUCUUGAGUACCAUGGAGAUACCUCAAUAUCCACUUAGCUGCUUGCCAAUGCUCUUUACCAGGAUUAUGCAUAUAUCGACUCACCAUGCCAACUGCAUGAGCAAUAUCCAGUCUAGAGCAUACCAUUGCAUACAUCAAACUACCAACCAAAUUUGCAUAUGGUAUAUUUUUCAUUUGCAGCUUCUCCUUAUCAGCUUUAGGACAUUGUAGAGAACUCAAUUUAAAAUGAGGAGCUAAAGGGGUACUAACCGGUUUGGUUGAAUCAUGAACUCCAAACUUCUGAAUCAACUUCUCAAGGUAUUGUCUUUGAUUGAAGCAUACCAAACCUUUCUCUUUGUCUCUAGUGAUCUCCAUGCCAAGGAUCUUCUUUGCUUCACCAAGAUCCUUCAUCUCGAACUCAUUCUUCAUUUGCUUCUUCAAUUUCUCAAUCUCUUCGACAUUCUUUGAGGCAAUCAACAGAUCAUCAACAUAUAUCAACAAAUAAAUGAAAGACCCAUCUUGAAAAUUCUUGAAGUACACACAAUGAUCAUAUUGACUUCUAGAAUAAUUUUGGCCUUUCAUAAAUUUAUCAAACCUUAAAUACCAUUGCCUUGGAGAUUGCUUCAAGCCAUAAAGUGAUUUCUUCAAUUUGCAAAACAAAUUCUCCUUCCCUUUCACUGUAUACCCAUCCGGUUGACACAUAUAGAUCUCUUCAUUCAAAUCACCAUGUAAGAAAGCCGUCUUCACAUUAAGUUGCACAAGCUCAAGAUCAUACUGUGCAACAAGCGCUAACAUAAUGCUAAUUGAGGAGUGCUUCACAACAGGAGAAAAGAUUUCAUUGUAGUCAAUACCAUCAUUUUGUGCAUACCCUUUAGCAACUAAUCUUGCUUUGAAUCUCACAUUGCUUUUCUCAUCAGCAUUUUCCUUCUUGGCAUACACCCAUUUGCAAGUGAUAGCUUUCUUGCCCUUAGGCAAUUUAGCUAACUCCCAAGUCUUGUUCUUCAAGAGAGAAUUCAUCUCAUCACCCAUGGCAUUGCACCACAUCUCAUUCUCCUCACUCUCAAUGGCUUCCUCGAAAUUGGAUGGAAUAUCAUCAAUGAUAAUAGGAAGAGCAAAAGCAACAUAGUCACUAUACCGGGCUGGCUUGGUAAUUUGUCUCUUUCCUCUGUUCUUGGCAAUAGACUCUUGAGGUGAAACUUGCUCUUCAACUUGAAUAGAAUCUUCAAGUUCAACUUCUUCAACAUCCUCAUGGUCUCCAACUUCUUCACUUGUAGUGGCUUUGACAUCAGCAUAAAAAAGAUUUGAAGUACUAGAGGCAACUUUCUCAAGCUCCACCUGUUGGACAUCUUUCACAUUCUUCUCAGAGUCCUUGUACAUACUUUCUUCAUCAAAUGUCACAUCUCUACUAAUUACAAGUUCCUUCAUCUCUGGGCACCACAACCGGUAACCUUUGACACCACUACAAAAACCAAGAAAGAUAGCAUUUUUGGCUCUAGGAUCAAGUUUAUUUUCAGUUACAUGAAAAUAAGCAGGUGAACCAAAAAUACGAAUAUGAUCAUAAUCAGAAGAGGGUUUUCCAGUCCAUACCUCCAUUGGUGUCUUACCCUGAAUAGCAGCUGAGGGUAACCGAUUGAUGAUGUGACAUGCAUAAGUAACUGCCUCUGCCCAAAACGACUUGCUCAAACCCGAUUGAGAACAUGCAUCUAACCUUCUCAAGCAAGGUUCGAUUCAAUCUUUCUGCAACUCCAUUUUGUUGUGGAGUUCCCCAGACACUAAAAUGUCUCACAAUCCCUUCCUCUUUGCAAACUUUAAAGAAAGGGUCAGAUGUGUAUUCACCACCAUUAUCCAAUCUCAAAAUCUUAAUCUUUCUCCCAGUUUGGUUUUCAACCAUUUUCUUUCAACCCAAGAAAAUGCUUAACACCUCACUCUUGUGCUUCAUAGUGUAGACCCAAGACCUUCUUGAAUAAUCAUCAACAAAAGUCACGAACCAAUGUCUACCACUCAAAGAGGGAGUCUUUGUAGGACCCCAAACAUCUGAAUGCACAUAAUCAAGAAUGCCCUUCGUCUGAUGUACCACAGUACCAAACUUCACUCUAGUUUGCUUCCUAAGACACAAUGCUCGCAUAAAUCAAGCUUACAAGUCGUGGCACAUUUUAGAAAACCUUGUUUCACAAGCCCUUGUAGAGCUUUCUCACCGGCAUGGCCUAAUCUCAUAUGCCACAGUCUAGUAGUAUCAGAAUCAUAUAUGCCCAUAUUUUCUGAGACUACAGAUGUUUCACCUGUCACAGUGCUUCCUUGCAAUAAAUACAAAUGGCCACAUCGAUGAGCUUUCAUCACAACAAGUGCACCAUAAGUAACUUUCAAUGUCUGUCCAUCUGAAUGAAACCUGAAGCCCUUGGAUUCCAAAGUACCCAAAGAAAUAAGAUUUUUCUUCAAAUUCGGUACAUACCGAACACCUGUCAACUCUUUAACCAUGCCAUCAUGCAACUUCAAACGAACUAUACCAAUCCCUUUUGUUGUGCAAGGAUUGUCAUCUCCUAUGAACACAACGCCACCAUCAAACUCUUUCAAGCUUGAAACCCAAUCCUUGUGAUGAGUCAUAUGAUGAGUACAACCCGUAUCCAACACCCACUUAGUAGCACAAUCAAAUGAUGAGAAAGUGGUUAAAGCAAAAUCAGAAAAAAUCUGUUUCAACCUCAGCAACAUUCAAUCAACCAUCAGCAGCCUUGCAGCUGCUUUCCGUUCCAUUCCAAGUGAAAGCCAAAAUAGUCGAUUUGAUACUUAUGAGUGGUUGGAGUAAAAUAUAGCAAGAGAUGCUGCAUUUUGCCGUUAUUGCUAUAUUUUCAAAUGAAAACGGGAGAUGUUGGCAGUGAUGUCUUCACUGAAAAGGAUUUUUAAUGUAACUUGUUUGUAUUGAUAAAUUAUGGACGAUAUUACUAAAUUGAAAUGGUUGUUUCCCUUUUUUUAAACUUUGCACUCUUUUAAAUUCGCCCCUCCCCCUACUAAUUCCUGGCUUCGCCACUGAAUACUACAGAUGGCACCAAGUUCAGGAUAUUCAAGAAUGAAUGGGGUGAGAGCUAGGGCAAAAAUGGCUACAUUUGAAUUCUUAGAGAUGCUGGCCCUCCUAAAGGUCUUUGUGGCCUUGCUACAACGGCUUCCUACCCAAUUAUAGAUUGAUCGUGUCGGCUUCAAAGGCUACAAUUAAGUGCGUAAAUCUAAUUUUCUUCUCAAUAUUGAGAAAGCUCCGUUGAUAAAAAAGGGCUUGUAUUUUGUAUCUGAUUAGCAUAACUGAAGACGGCAUCAAGUUGUUUUGAAAAGAAUAUAAUUAAGUGUGUGGAUCUAAUUUUCUUUUCAUUUAGGUGUGCAGAGUUUUAUCUCAAAAUACCUUGAUUCUCUAGACUUAAAAUUUUAGAUAGUUUUUCCACUUGAUGAAGUUGAAACUUGAUAUACAUUAGAGCAAUUUUUAUCAAUUAGCUGAGCAUAAAAUUAAUUCAGAAGAUCUGCAACCUCAAGAGAAUUAGUUUUGAAAAGCACACUAAAUUACAUGAAGAACACUUUGAGUGCCAGUCGAGCAACUCUGAGUUGGAGGGCCACUGCAUUGACUUACUAUUGUUAGUACUUGGAUUUCAAAAACAUCAUCAUCAAAUACUGGAGUUUUACGUUUAAAUUUCAUGAACCUGACCCCAAUUCCGUAUGGACUCGGUAUGAGGUUCACUGAUGCAGAUUGGUAAAUUUGUAAUCAUCAGCACCUUUAACGGAAACUAAAGGCCAAAGGGCAAAGACUUCAGCAAAUAGACCAAGGACUUGUAGUCAUCAGACCCUUGAGUCAUCAAUGGAUCCUUCGAACUUCUUUGUGCACAAACUCCACGGCGAAAACAAAACAAGCGUAGCAUUCGGGCUAGACUGAUUGAUGAAGUUUACCGUGAAUCAUCAACCUGUGGAAUGUGCCUGGAAAUUUGGCUCCCUUCCAAAUUCCCAUCCUAACAAUUUCAACAAAGUGCACAUGCAGGACAUCCCGAACGUCUUCUAUAUAAACCGGUAAUAUCAUGCUUGCUUCUUCACAUCCAGCUUGCCAAUCACUACUUGAAACAAAGCCAUUGUCGACACAGAGCGCCCUCUCAUCACCGCAAUGGCUUUUGAAAGAAACCUUUUGAUUGUUACCAUACUCAUCACCUUGGGGACCUUGGCAUCUGAAGCCACGUCCCGCACAUUGUACCAAGCUUCCAUUGCUGCAAAACAUGAGCAGUGGAUGAAAAAGCAUGGACGCGUUUACCAGGACAGCGCAGAGAAGGAAAGGCGUUUCCAGAUAUUCAAAAACAAUGUGGAGUUUGUCGAGAAAUUCAACAGUGAAGGGAACAUGACUUACAGCCUAUCCAUCAACCGAUUUUCGGAUAUGACCUAUGACGAAUUCCUCAGGCAUUAUACUGGAUACAAGCAGCCCACUGAAUCAACCUCAUCUGCUGCUGCAUCUUUUACAUACGAAAACCUAAGCCCGGCUGAUGUUCCCCAAAGCAUUGACUGGAGGGAGAAGAGUGCUGUUACUCCAGUAAAAUUUCAAGGGAGCUGUGGUAAGAGCACCAACCGCCAUAUUAACAUAGGGCUAAGCUUCCUUGUACAUAUGUAUGUAUUGCAUUAAUUACUUUCUUCGUGCAUUCAUUCCUACGGAAAUUAAUUCAUAUCCGUUUGUUCGAAUACAUGCAGGUUGUUGCUGGGCAUUUGCCGCAGUGGCAGCAGUCGAAGGGAUUACCCAAAUCAAAACUGGCAAAUUGAUCUCACUGUCUGAGCAACAACUUGUGAACUGUGAUACAGAAAUUAACGAGGGCUGCCAAGGUGGUCGGGCAGUUAAUGCCUUUGCAUACAUUCAACGAAACGGAGGAAUCACCAGUGAAGAAAACUACCCAUACCAGGGUUUAGAUGGCACAUGUGAUAUGAACAAGGCAAAUGAGGCUGCUGCCCACAUAACUGGUUAUGCAGAGGUACCUCCCAACAGUGAAACCGAUCUACUCAAGGCUGUGUCCAUGCAACCAGUCUCCGUUUCCAUCCACGCCUCACCAGCCUUUCAGCAUUAUUCAGGCGGGGUGUUCACCGGUGAUGAUUGUGGGACAAAAUUGAACCACGCUGUUACCAUCAUUGGGUAUGGGACAACUGAAGAUGGCACCCCCUAUUGGUUAAUCAAGAAUUCAUGGUCUGAUACGUGGGGUGAGAAUGGCUACAUGAAGAUUCUUAGAAACGCUGAUGCCCCAGGUGGUGUUUGUGGCCUCGCUAUAAGACCUUGCUAUCCGACUAUGUAAUGUAUUAAUCAAAGGGCGGAGUGAGCUUCUCCACUUUGCCUAUAGGUUAUAAGUACUACAGACAAAACCCAUAGGCUGUGAAAAUGCCCAUAUUUUGUACUUGCAAAAAGUAUGUUCUAUGAAAUUACAUUAUUUUACCUUUAUAUUCAACAAUGAAUUUUCCUACCCUGCUUAGGCUAAAUCAAUAACCACAGCUGCAACGGCAGUUUGCUGGAUUACGCCUUUGAAUACAUAUAGCAAAACCGAGCAAGUGACAAAACGAGCAUGCUUCCCAGAUAACCGGCUAUGGAACAUGCCUUCCACAGUGAAAACGACCUAUUGAAGGCCGUGUCUCCAUGACGAGCCUUUCAGUUUCCUAUGGUGGGAUUUUCUCCAAUGAUCGUGGGAAAGAACUGAACCAUGCAUUUGCAACCAUCGGGUAAGGAGUGAAUAAAGACGGCACCAACCAUUUGCAGAAACAUGACAUAUCUUUGUCGGCUGGCUAUGGAUUCUUCUUUUCAAACUAUCUAAACUAUUGAUAUAAUCAAGGGGUUGAGAGAUCAUCUCGACUUCUCCUAACAAACCAAAACUACCAGGCUUCGCCUAUAGCCAAGAAAAUUUCUUGUAGUAGCUAAUCUAUACCAUUCAAUAAACUUUCGGGAUCUUAUAAAACAAUAUUGAAAACAGGAUAAUAUAUGCAUUUCAUUUGGUAUAGAUAUUUAAUGAUAUGGAUAACCGAAAAUGAGUUCUAACAACAACGCUAACAGAACAAAAUGGAUAUUCAAACAAAAAAAAAAAAAUUAGCCUUUCCAAAUGAAACAAUACAGAAAGUAUAAUGAGAAAUAAGUUUGAAAUUCUGCCACUGUUCACAAUAAUAGGCUAAUAGACAUCAUUACCUUACAUGCCAUUACACUUAUCUAAUAAACUGUAUGAAAUAGACGGAACCAGGCACAACUAACUAAUAAGCUUAAUCUCCUUCCGUUUGCUUAGUUACUAUCCACAACAUACAUCACUUUAAAGAACAAAUAUAUGGCAAAUGACAUUUUAUCGUAGUGACAGAAAACAAUCAUGUUUAUGCACUCUAUUGCGGAUUCAAUCCCUACCGAUCUCUCUCUCACCUAACAACUAACAAUUUAACAAUUUAACUUACUAACCAUAUAAACUGUUGAGAAAUCUACGAAUCAAAUCCCUGAUUGUUGUAUAUUUACCUUAUGUAUAUUUACUUAGUUAGGAAGUCAACUCCUUCUUUCAUGGAGUUAAUCAUGUAUAAUCUAUGUAUAUAUUUUACUUCCCCGUUCAUAUCAAUAAUAUACAGAAAAUUCAAACCUUCGGUUCUUAUGAUGGUAUCAGAGCCCCUUCAUGGUGGCUCCUGAUUUUCCUCUUUGUUUCAUGUGCUUUUGAAGCUUUCAAGAGAAAGAUAUUUUUUUCCUUGUCUUGAAUCACAAUUUAAUCAUGGGAAUGGGAGAAAAUUCAAACAUCAACUCCAAUUCUAUCUCCGAUCAGCAGACGCAUCUUUUCAAAUUGCUUGCUGGGCUCACACCAGAACAACUUCAACAGCUUAUAGCAGCUAUAUCCAUGUUAAAAUUACAAAAAUCAGAAAAUUGCAAUACAUUUGCAAAUACGGCAAGUCAAGUUUUUUAUGAGUUUCCAUCAAUUAAUUUUGUAUCUUCUAAUACAUGAAUUUUGGAUAGUGGAGAGAUGGAUCACAUUACAUCCGACUCUUCUUCCAUGCCUUCAGUUAAUUUACCCACUGGUUCAUCUGCUCCUAUUUCUUCAAUUGGCUCGAUACUUUUGACAAGAAUAUCACUUUGAACAAUACUCUUUGUGUUCCCUCAUUCCGUCUUAAUUUGGUGUCUACCAGCAAAGUCACUAAAUCUUCAAAUUGUUAUGUCAUUCUCUUUCCUGACUUUUGUGUUUUAUAGGACUUGGCUACAUGGAGGAUAAUUGGCUUGGGUAAACAGCAAGGCGGUCUUUAUUACAUGUCACCACUAGACACAUCCCCGACAACUCCCCUUUCAUGUCAUGUUUCCCACACAUCUAGUAUAUGGCAUUGACAUCUUGGUCAUCCUUCACCGACUCGACUCAAAUUACUUUCCAAUUUGCUUCCUUCUGGUACUGUUUCUAUUGAACAUAAUAGUGAUGUUGGCCCAUGGCUAAACAUACAAGAUUACCUUUUUCAUUAAGUUCCAUCUCUUCUACUGUGCCCUUUGCUUUAUUACAUUGUGAUAUUUGGGGUCCUCACAAACUUAAAUCUAAUUAUGGGGCACGUUACUUUCUUACCAUUGUUGAUGAUUACACAAGGUGCAGUUGGAUAUUUUUGAUAACCCAUAAGUCUAAAACACAAUCCCUCAUGAAAUCCUUUGUCACCUUCAUUCAUAGUCAAUUUAGUACCACCAUUAAAACAAUAAGGUCCGAUAAUGAAGCGGAAUUUAUCUCAUUACGAGAUUUUUUCCUUGAUAGUGAGGUUGAAUUUCAACUUUCAUGUGUUUACACUCCACAACAAAAUGGAGUAAUUGAACGCUAGCAUCGCCACAUUCUCAUUAUGGCUCAUGCUUUGCUCUUCCAAGCCAAUUUGCCAUUAAGUUUUUAGGGGGAGUAUGUUCUCACUGUAGUUUAUCUUAUCAAAAGGAUAUCCACUCCAUUACUAUCAAAUAAGUCACCCUAUGAGAGGUUAUACAAUCGAUCCACCAAGCUUGAUCAUCUCAGGGUAUUUGGGUGCCUUUGUUAUGCUAUUGUUAUUCAACCACUACAAAAAUUUCGAUUCACGUGCGCGUCGUUGUAUUUUUGUUGGCUAUCCAACAUGUCAAAAAGGAUAUAAGCUUUAUAAUUCGAGGACACAAAAAUUUCCUGUUAGUAGAGAUGUGACAUUCCAUGAAAAUAUUUUUUCCUAUGGAUCUCUAACUCAAGAAAACCACUAUCAAAACUCAAAAAUUGUUUUACCCAUAGUUCACCCUUAUUAUCCUAGUCAAUAUGUGGGCUCCACCACCCCAUAUAUUACUUCCUCUCCAUCCGCCUAUCCACCACCACUUAUAUCUCAUGAGUCAGAUGCCACCACCCUACCCAUUAUUUCCUCACCUUCUACCUAUCCACCACCACCUGCAUCACAUGAUUCAGAGGCCACCACCCCACACAUCUCUUCAUGCAUCAACAAUUUAUACCUCUCCACAUGACAAUUCAACCUAUCCCAAUCCAUCAUCUCUUCUUUUGACUGCUCCUACUAGACAUUCUACUCGAACCCACCAACCAUCAUUGUGGCAUAAAGAUUACCAUAUGUCAAACAUAACUUUUACCCAAGUGUUGUUGUCCGACUUCAUGCUAACUUCUAUUCAAGGUACGAAGUAUCCAUUAUCAAAUUUUGUUUCAUAUUCAAGACUAUCUAUCCAACAUUGUGUUUUUUUAGCUACUAUCUCAAGCUAUAAAGAACCCACAUCUUAUUCACAAGCUGCCGCAUACCCCAAUUGGUAGCAAGCCAUGACUAUCGAACUCAAUGUUUUGCAAUAGAAUAAUACAUGGAUGUUGGUCGCUUUACUUGCGGGGCAUAAACCCAUUAGAUGCAAAUGAGUUUAUUGUAUCAAAUAUCAUUCCGAUGGGACCAUUGAACACUACAAAGCUCGUCUUGUGGCAAAUGGCUACCUCUAAAUUAAAGGCAUCGAUUACAUUGAGACCUUUUCCCUAACUGCCAAACUCAUCACUCUCCGUUGCAUUGUCCCAGUCGCUGUUUCUCGCAAUUGGAAAAUUCAUUAGCUCAAUGAUCAGAACGCCUUUCUCCAUGGCGACUUGCACGAGAAGGUGUAUAUGGACCCUCAUCCCGAACUUCGCUGAUAGGGGGAGCACUUGGUGUGUCGGCUUAACAAGUCUUUGUAUAUUCUCAAACAAGUCUUUCAUAUCUAGUUUUCCAAGUUUUCUAGUGCUAUAUAACAAGCUAGAUUUCAACAUUCCAAGGCAAAUUAUUCAUUAUUUACAAAAACCUGUGGUAGUUUUUUCACUGUGGUUCUCAUAUAUGUCAAUGAUAUCCUUCUCCCCGCUACUAUUUUCUUUCCGAGAAAUCAGCGUUACCAUGACACCAGAUUCACAAGGAGCCUUGGUGGCACACUUCCAGGUUAGACCCGUCUUGGUGGAUAUGGUUAGGGAAGCUUAGGAACUUGAUCCGCAGUGUGCAGUACUAAAGAAACAGGUACAGGAUGGGAAGAUGCGAGAUUUUAAAAUCCAGAGGGAUGGAGCCUUAGUGUUGGGAAAUAGGUUGUAUGUGCCUAAGGAUAACGAAAUGGUGAAGAAGGAAAUUCUUGAUGAAGCUCACAUCUCGGCGUAUGCCAUGCAUCUGAGAAGCACCAAACUAUAUCACACUAUCCGUCUGUUCUAGUACUGGGUUGGAAUGAAACGGGAUGUGGUGGAAUAUGUGAGUAGAUGUAUUAUUUGCCAACAGGUGAAAGCAGAGAGAUAAAGACCUGAGGGGCUAAUGCAGAAUCUCCCGAUAAUAGCAUGAAAGCGAGAAGACAUCACCAUGGAUUUUGUGUAUGGUCUGCCGAAGAUGCAAUCGAGGUUCAAUGGCAUCUAGGUGAUUGUGGACCGACUAACCAAGACCGUUCAUUUCUUACUUGUUCGACAGACCUAUUCAUUGGAGAAAUUGGCAAAGUUAUUCAUUGAUAAUAUUGUCACACUUCAUGGUGUACCCGUCACUAUCGUAUCAGACAGAGAUCCAAGGUUCACCUCUAGGUUUUGGAAAGCAUUCAAUGCCACCAUGGAUACUUAGCUAUUGUAUAGCACUGCCUAUUAUCCACAAACAGAUGGUCAAUCUGAAAGGACAAUUCAGACUUUGAAGGACAUGUUGACAGUGUAUGUUCUCCAGUGGAAGGGUAGUUAGGAUAGCUAUCUGCUGUUGGUUGAAUUUGCUUACAACAACAGUUAUCACUCCAAUAUCGGCAUGACACCUUUUGAUGCACUGUAUGGGAAGGCGUGUUGGACACCAUUGUGUUGGAUAUAGGUCGAUGAACGGGUGUUAGUAGGACCAGAAAUGGUUGACACCACAAAUACUAAUAUCCAGCUGAUCAAGAAGAACCUGAAGGUAGCACAAGACCGACAGAAGAGUAUUGUGAACCAACAUUCUAGGGAUCGAGAGUAUAAGGUUAGUGACUUUGUUCUCUUGAAGUUGUCACCCUGGAAAUGUGUGGUUCGAUUUGGUAAGCGAGGAAAGCUAAGUCCUCAAUAUGUGGGUCCCUACCAGAUUACAUAGAGGAUUGGUGUAGUUGCCUAUAAGUUGGAGCUACCACCAGAGUUGGCACAUGUUCACAACGUAUUUCAUGUUUCCAUGCAUCGAAAAUAUGUGUUAGACCCCUCUCAUGUGAUCUAGUCGAAACCGCUGAAAGUGAAUCAGGAUGCUAGCUAUGUUGAGCAACUAGUGGUUAUCGUCGACCAAUAAGAUCAAAUUUUAAAGAAUAAAGUUAUUCCGUUAGUUAAAGUGCUAUGGAAAAACCAUGCAGUUGAAGAAGUGACAUGGGAAACAGAAGAAUUGAUGAGGAAUUAGUACCCCUAUCUUUUUCUUUGAGUUUGUAAUUUCGGGGAUGAAAUUUUCUUUAAGGGGGUAGAUUAAAGCCCACCCUCAAAAUUAAUUUUAAUUUCAUUUGUUCCCUUCUAAUUAUGGAAAGUUUGCAUUUUGGUCCUCCUAUCUAUACCCAAUCUAAAUCUACUUUCCAGAUUUUCUCUCCACUUCUCCAUCUAUCACUGCUUGCCACGUGGCAAGCACCACCACCCUCCAUUUUUCUUUUCUCUUCCCCCAAGUCCCUCAUCAUCACUCUCAUAACUCUCCCAUCACUCCCUCUCUCAAAACUUAACCCUCAACUCCCCCUCUCCUCUCCGAAACUACACCACAACAACAAUAAAACACCACCACCAUCACCCUUAUGUUCUCAAAAACAAAGAAAAAACACCCCAAACCAUUCACUUCCAUUCGGCCUGUACAGUUCAUCGUCUUUUCCGAAGAGUUUCAUGAUUUUCCAAUGUUGGUAAGCUUCUAAAAACUUUUGGGAUGUGUUUUAAGGUUAGAUUGAAACUUGUUUUUAAGUUGUGUAUGCGCUUGAAUUGCAAAAAAUAGCUUGGGGUAGCUUUUCCAGAUUUUUCUGGCGAGCACCACCACUUUCGAGGCUUUUUCUAGCCAAAGCACUCCGAGUUAGCCAUCAUGUACGGUACCAUUCUUUUCCUCUCGUCGAGUACUACAACUUUUCUUUUUUAAUCACUUGAUUUGGUUGAGUAACGAAGAAGUUAUGAGCGUCUGAAAGUAGCCCAGAAACCGGCCAAAGUGUGGCCUAAAAACCACCUCCAACCCAGGCAUUUGGGUCGGGUUACCCAGCCUAAUAGACCCAAAGCCUAGAAACCCCAAAACCUAGAAAAUCCAACCAAGCCUUUGGGCCAUGGUUUUAGGCCCGUUAACCCCUUGAAGCCUAAACCCAUUAACCUUUGUAUUUUAUUUAUUUAUUUAUUUAUUUUCUGUUUAAACCCAAAAACACUUGGGCCAGGCCUUCAAGCCCAAGGCCCAUUAGACCAGCCUAAUAGACCCAAAACCCUAAAACCCAAGCCCAACCCUAAAUCGGUUUGACCCGUUAACUUCCACUUUGAUCGUUGACUUUGACCGGUCAACCGUCACGUUGACUUUUUCGGGUUUUUGUCUUCGACCUAUUUUUGACGUCUGUUUUUCCAAAUUCAAUCGUUUGAGUAUAGUUUUGUUAAUUGUACCCUUUGUGUGCUUAGGUACAAUUACUAGCGGUGUUCAUGUUCUUCCUUUUUCAUACAGCUCUACUACGAUGAAGUAUCUGUGAGUGGACCCCCUUCUAAAAUACAUAUUUUAUUAGUAGAAUUGCAUACAUGAGAAGCAUAAUUUAAUACUUACGUUUUAUGAAAAGUUUUGAGUGAUAUUGUGCUUACUGAGGCUAGUUUGAAUCAUCUUAUUUUCUAUCGAACCUAUGUUCUUUAUAGGAUAUCUGAUGGAUGAUGAUAUAAUAUUUAGAACAUGUUUUUACACACUUCUUUAUAGUAUAGAUGAUAAUGACUUUAUACUAUAAAGAUGUUUUUGAGAUAUAUGUACCUAUGUUUGGAAAGACUAUGUUCAAUGUUUUUGUGCGUAUCUAGUGGUAACUGUUCCGCCCACGGGCGAUGAUACUUAUAUUGGCUUCGGUCAGGUAUGGGUUGGAGGUUUCAGCCGAUAGAUACUUAUAUUGGCUUCGGCCGGGUGUAGGUUAGAAACUUCAGCUAGGAGAUACUUCUAUUGGCUUCGGCCGGGUGUAGGUUGGAGGCUUCAGCUGUGAAAUAUUGUUACUGAUACCACUAGUUAACACACUAUAUACGAGAUAAGUUUUGAUAGGUUUUAUGGCAUGCUAAGGCUUUUGGAAAACCUAUUAUCUUACUAUGCUCAGUGGCUGAGCCAGAAAUUCAUGUUAGGAGGGGCACACUUUAGAUCAAAAUGGACAUAAUACAUGUAGAAACUAUCUUGUUCUUUUGGUCGUCUUGGUAUCAAAGUUAAAAGUGAGUGACCAUGCAUUUAUUCUUGAUUAUAAACGGUCAACUAUAUCAAGAGUGGAACAUUAUUAAAAGCACAUUCAUUUAUUCUUCAUUCUUGAUAUUAAAUUCAAAGAUGACUGACCAUGCAUUCAUUUUCUCAUAGCGACCAAGAAAACAUAUUUCUAAAAACAUUAAGACAUGAGAGCAUUUGAAGGGUUUUUUGUGCUAAUUUGGAAAAAGGAAAUAUUUUUCUCUUCUUGAUUUCAUAGAUGAUAUAAUAGAGGGAAAUGAGAAAUUAACGAAAAUAAUAGUCUGCAAGCAAAGGGAAAAAUUGUAUAUGGGCAAGAAAUAGAGAAUAUGAUCAACUAAUAUUAGUAUAUAACUAUAGUUUCAAAUCUCUAAUGUAAAAAAUUGAAGGCUUUGUAUGUGUUGGAUUGAAGUUAAUUGGACUAACUAAUACAAUUACAAAUUCAAGUUGAUAGUGGUAUUAUAAAAUUAAUUAAUGUUAGUAGAGGUUGUUAGGAAAAAAAUUAUUUGAGGAUAGGCCCGAGCCUACCCUAGCCUAAAGGUGGCUCCGCCACUGACUAUGCUAUUGAGUUUUCAUAAAACUUGGGAGUUAGUAUGUUGUUAACUGUUUCAGUAAUAUAUAUAUAUAUAUAUAUAUAUAUAUAUAUAUAUAUAUCAACUUGGUCCACUCAUGUUUGUUUGUGCCCCCUUCAAGACAUAGGAACGAGGCAUACGAUUCGAGCUACGAGACAUUCCCCUACCAGUGAUACUACAUCGUUUUCCCUACUUAACAUUUAUUGUAAUAGCAUAUUCCGCUUGUAAUUCUCAGUUAGAUGUAUCAUCUGAACGUGUCAUGCAUCAUCAUUAUGUUUUCACUAUUGGCAGGUGAAUAUUAUUUUAUUACUACUUUAUGUUACAUUUCUCGAACGAAAUUUAUAUGCAGGUUUCAUAUGUUCUCAGCAUUUGCAUUCAUAAAUGGCUUGUGUCACCUUCGCGUGUCGGCCAAUACGUGACCAUCCCGAUGUCCCUUGGACAUUGGGAUUGGGGCAUGUCAAAUAAAGCCAGUUUGAGCAAGUGGGUCGAAUUGUAUUGGACAUUGUUGCAUCUUGGAGCAUGUGAUUGCUGGGAAGUUUAAGCUGGGGUGGAAGAUUGAGAGUGGGUCUUUCAGAGAACUCUAUUUAGGUAUGGUAAUCAGUGCUUGAUAUCCUUUUUUCCUUAGAAAAUUAUUCAUUGUGUUAAUUUAAUGUGUUUUGUAAUGAAAUUGCUCUUCUGAUGUUAGGGGUAAAUGUACACAGUGGGGAAGAGGUGGCUAUUGAGUUGGUAUAUGAUUGAUCCUCAAAUCGUAGAUUCAGUUAUGAUGUUUGGUUUAUAGCUAAAUGUUUGCAAGCAUUGUAUAAUUUUGUGCCGAAGUUAUAAAUAGGCGGCUUCAUUAAUGUACUAGGAUAUGUUAAGUGUGAGCUUUUGGUAAUUCAUUAUGAUUUCAUGUAUGCUUCCAUAUAUAUUGAAAUUGUCCAGUUUGCUCAUGGAUGUUUCUGUAUGAUUUUGCAUGUCUCCCUUGAUUAAAGCUUGAGCAAAAUAUGCUUAUGAAAUCGAUAUGUGGUUUAGCCUUAUAAAUGUGCCUUCAUCUAUAUUGCUUAUUUGCUACCCAUAUAAACAUAUAACUUUAUAUGAGAUUUACCCCCAUUUGAAAACGAGUGUUUUUAUGCGAUGUUUAUAUGUGUAGGCACUGGAAUUAGUGUCUUUUGUUUUUAUUUUGAUCCCAACUGCUCAAAUUCAUUGAUUAUCAUAUGACAUGGUUAACAAUUUCUGUGAUUUUAAAACACUUGGAGGUGAGAUUUACAUAAUUAAGUAGUCAAUUGAAAAAUUGAAAUGAGAUGUUAGUUUUACCUGACUGAUUUCUUUGUUGGGUUUAUUACUGCUUAAUGUUAAAACCCAAAAAUGGUUUUUUGAGCAAGUGGUGAUCGGCCCGCCUGGUUUAGGAAAUACUGCUUACUGCAAUGACAUGUCUGAGUAUAUCUAGCUCAUCCGAAGGUAAAAAAUUUCACUAUGAAUUCUGGGUUUUCAAGUUUUUCCAUGGCUUCAAUUUUGGUUUUUGAAUCCAUUUGAAAUAUUUACAGUGGAAAUUUGUUGUUUUGGUGUGUAGGAAAGUUUUUGUGGUAAAUUUGGAUCAUGCCGCCGAUGCAUUGUCGUAUCCUUUUCGGGGUUUUAUUUUUUUCAUCUUUAUUGUUCAGAAUUUGUAGUGUUGCGUUGCAUUGCAUUCCAAUGUCGAAUAUUGAGGGUAAUAAAGUAGAGCUACUAGUUCACCUUCUUUCAUUUGGUGCCUUUCAACAUUGAGCUUUUUAAUCCUACUCAUUUUGCUUAGUUUUUGUUCGAUUUGGGUUUUGCAGUCGAUUUGGGGAUUUUGAAAUGGUGGACGUUGGGCCAGUUACACCACAACAGGUACUUCAAUUUCAAUGCCAUGACUGUGUAUUUCUUUUGCGUAAUUUGAUCUCCUACUGAUUUCGAUUCAAUUCCAAGAAUUUUUUUUAUUUGCUUAGUUUAAUUUGUUGUUGUUCAAUUGUUAUGAAGAUCUGUGAAUGUGUAUGAAUUAUUGAUUUUUGAUUUUUGUUGAACAAUGUGAAGUUGCUUGGUGUUUUAAGUUCUUGAUCCAAAGAAAGUUGCGUUGUUUCAUAAUGGCAUUGCCGUUUGUAGUGGUUGUUCGGAUUAUUGUGUCAUUUUAUUUAUGCACACCAAGUGUUUGAUGAGUUGCUUCUGAAAUGAAAUUCAUAUUUGUUUAUGCACACCAAGUGUUUGAUGACUUGCUUCUGAAAUGAAAUUGAACCAGAACCAUGGAGCAUGAUAUCAUAGUGGAUCCAGAGUACUCUCUUUCUUUCUCUUACAUGUGUUUGUGUGGGUUUUGGUAGAUUCCUUUGCUUUUUCAUAACAAAAACUAAAUUGGGUUUUCUGGGUUUGACAAAAAAGUGGUUUGGAAUCUGAUACUGAAGGUUUGAUCUUUCAGGAAAAUUAUAAAAAGGGUUCAAUUUAGUUUUGACAAAUGAUUGAGGGUUUUUUUGUGUGAUUGUAUUAGUGGUUUGUGAAUGAUUGAAGAGUGGAAAAUGGUUUUUGCAGAGCAGACUUUCAUUGUAUUAGAUAAGCAAUUGAUUGUGGGAGAGUUCAGCCAUGGAGAGCCUCAUGUGGAAGGUUAGCCAAAUAUACAGUCUUUCUUCACAAAAUUACCUUCUGAUUGGUUGCUGAGAAAAAUUAUGGAGACAUUCAAAUGAUUACUUAAGAACAGUUGGUUGGAUGAUUUUGGAUGAAAUCAUGAGAAGUGUUUAGUAAAUUUUGUUCUUAAUUUUACUAAGUUUUUGAGUUUUUUUUUCCUCUGCAAAUUUCGAUUAAAUUGCUUGCAAUUGAAUUAUUUUGUAAUUUUCUAUAAUACUCCCUGUAUAUUUAUUAUUUGUUUCAAAUAGCAGGUAAUCAGGUAUUGUAUUUUUUGAAAACUCCUAUUAAUUUUUUCAUGUUCUUCUUGUUUGGUGAGAAGAUUAGGGAUAAGCUCUGCACCCAAACUCAAGAGUGACCCAGCCUGUUUGCUCUGUUUUUGGAUUUCGUUUUUAAAUUUGAUAUUUUGUUUGCAGCCACUGGAAAGAGGCCGCAUGAAAAUUUCUCUUCUGGAGUUAAGAAGGAGUUGGGGAGGAUGAACAGAGGCUUGCCGUCCAAUUUAUUAAGUGCUUGCCGAAAGCCAUGAGAUUUUGAAAUAUCAAUUUCUCGCAUGCUUAUUAGCUUACAGAUUGCUUAUUAGCUUAUUCAUCUAAGAACCUAGGUAAUCCUUUUUUACUAUUGUGUCACUGCAUACAAUGUGCUAAUUUACACAACAAAGUCGUUCCCCACAUGUGUGAGGAUCUAUGCGUGCAACCUCAUUGGUUAAGCAGACCUUGUGCUCCAUUUUGUGAUACCAUGCACAAGCAAGAGAGUAAAGAGGAGUUUGAUUGCAUAAUUACUCAAAAAAAUAAGUGUAUUUAUUUUUAACUAUUCUGAAGUGAAAUCAGUGGUCAUCUACUAGUCCAGUUCAAUGUUGCCCGAGUUUACAAGGGAUGAUGCAACACUUAUAUGAUACUUUUCUUAUUGGCUGUAUGUGAAUCAUCAAUAUCUUAUGGAUUAAUAUGCUUACCAUUUCGUAUACAUAUGUUUUGAUUCAUGUUAAACUUUUUGUAUUAUUUUGUGUUUGUCAUUGGCAUGUGAAUUUGAAAACAUUCAUAGUUAUCCAUAGGACCUUGAGGGAGUAUGCAAUUAGUAUUCAUAUAGAUGGUUAUUCAUGUUAACAAUGAAAGCAUCUGGUUUAGGUUUGUCCUCAAAAUUUAUGCUUAGUUGUAAUAAUGCUUUUGCUUAGUUGUUCAUGUAAAAAUGGAACAUUUUUUUUUGUAUAUAUAUCAUUUUAUAUUCGUUUAAUGUUUGAACUUAUGCUUAUUAACUCGGUUAUUGGUAAGGCUCUUCUAGAGGCGGUGUUGGUGUGUAGAUGAUGAGGAAUUAGGCGAAGGCGGAAGACUAAAAGGUCUUAUAGAAGAAGAAGAAGCUCAGAAGUCUGAUACACCAAGCAACUCCAUCUGGAAGAGGAAGAAUCCAAAGGUAAAACCCUUCAAACUCUUCAAUUACGGUGUUCUUUAGUCGAUUGACUAGAACUUGAAAAACUAACGCAUGCAAAUAAUUUUUUGCGAAGGAACUGCAGUCCAGUGGCUACAUAAUUUUCUGUUAGUGUCCGAUUGGUCAAUAAAGGAUGCUUCUUUUUUGUUAUCAUGCAUGUUUAAGCUGUAAACAUCUGAAAAGCUGCUUAAUUGAAGUGAGAUUUCCAGUUUUUGAGCUCAAUUUCAUUUCUUAUAGACAAUUUUUUUCAAGAUUUCUGGAUUCCUUUUUGCUUCUUCUUUGUUAAAUUACUCAUCUGGAAGUUAAUUUUGUUCAAAUACCAAGUAUUGUUUUUCAAUUAAAGAUUUCUGGGUUUUUUUGUUGCUUCUUUUCUGUUAAAUUACUCAUCUAGAAGUUAAUUUUGUUCAAAAACUUACUGUUCUUCAAUUAAUCUUACAAGAAAGCAUAUGAGAACGUGGCACAUUAGGUGUUCGAUGAAAUGUGUCUGAGAAUCUGUCAGUAUGAUAUAUUAUAAUUCUGGAUCUCCUUUUCAGCUCUGGCCAUAGGUGCACGAAGGCGACAUGGUCCUGGUCGACGAUUCGGAAGCUCUGGCGAUUCGGACUGAGAAAGAGGUCAAUAACAACAAGGUAAUGGAAUUCAAUGUUUUGUGUUUGUUAUAGAGGCAUAUUUUCAAUAGUAUAUCAGAUAAUAAUUCUAGAUAGUCUGUCCAGAUAGCUUAGAUUGUGUUUCAUGAUGCAUAUGGCUGCAGCGGUUUUGGCUACUUUUUGGAUUGCUCAUUUUUUUUUUUUUGCUGCCCUUGGCUGGUACAAAGAUAUAUAAGAAGUACUAUCCUUCUAUCAACUUUUACUCAUGUCAAAUUUUGUACUCAUGCGCCAUUAGGUUAAAGUGCAUGUGCUUUGUUUUAUGUUGUAUUUUUUCAUCUAGGGGAUAAUGUUUUGUUGUUUGUCGCAAGGAAUAUUAAAACACAUCCACACCCUAUUUUGUCAAAUUGUUCUAAAGUAUCUCAUGCUGAUUUUAGAAUUCUCCUGACUUUCUAACUCAAAUCUGUGCCAAGAGAACCCAACUAAAGUGGUUUGCCGCUCCAUGUAUGAAGUAUUAGUGAAUUAUUUGUAAUUUUACGAAACGAAACAAAAAAAAUUGCGUUUUAAGCAUACAUAUUGAAAUUUAUGUUAUAAUUUUUUUGAUAAGAAACAGAGGUAAAUUAGAAUCAUACUAAUAUAGGUAUGCUGUAUACAUAACUUUGAUAGUACCAUAAGUUCAAAAUUAAUCUUUAGUGUCAUUAAAAAAAAUAAACAUAAAUUUGAUAGCACCAUAAAUUUGGGGUACUGUUAUAUUUAGUACAUGCAAUAUGAUGUUGUUCAGGUGUAUUUGUGAUUUUGAACGACACUAAAAAAAAUUAUGGGUUGUAGGAACCGCGGGUUAAGAAAAUGGGUCCAAAUUCAGAGCUGCAUUCGUCUUCCCUCAAAAUAAGAAAAAAAUGCUUCCUCAACUCCAUAUUUUGGAACCUCAGGUAUAUUUGUGUUCUAAAGCCUUUUACUUCUUCCGGUUUCUUCAGAGCUAUUAUUUUACCCAUAUAUGAUUUUUAAAGUGAAAGACUGGAUUUCAUAUGUCUGAGUAUUUAGGGUUUUGCACAAUGCAAACUUGAGCUUAUUGAUCCAAAUGGCUAAAACAGUGUACUCGACCAAUUUCAUAUCCUCUUGGGCUAAGGAGAGUAUAUUACUUGCCACUGAGGAACAUACUUCGUAUAAUAGCAAUGUGAUGGUGUGUGGCAUGAUUUAACCAAGGGAUAUUUUUGUGUAGUAAGAAAGCCAUAGCAUAGAGAGAGUCACGUUUUUGUUUUUUUUUUUGUUUUUUUUGUUUUUUGUUUUUGAAUUAGAUUAAUGUAGUGAUUAAGCAAUGAAAGCUGAGGACACACAAAUAACACAUGUAGUUGGGAAUUUGUGCGUUACAUGCAAAGCUCAUGGAAAGUAAGCUUUUGUACUGUGUCUAAUGACAUAAUCAAAGAGUUGUCCACCUAAUGUCGACUCUACAACGAUCGUCAACGAACAUUGUAGUCACAUACCGUGAGAGGAAUUUCAAAGUAAGUUGUUAAUGUCUGAACUAAGUCUAUGUUGAAAUUUCAAAGUAAAACAUUUAUUUCAUUGCUUCGUUUUUGGUAUAAAAAAUUAUUUAUUGUUGAGUAAGGACCCCUUUUUAUGGAUUGUUGACAUAUGUAAGAAAUUGUUUCUGUCCUAGCAUAUUAAUUUUGCUCAAUGCUAAUGCCAUAACUGAAAUUUUAUGUGUGAGCUACAUGUUUCUUAAGGAAACAGAACUUUUUUGGAAACCAUCUCUUUCUAAUCAAAGAUGUUUAGUUUCUUCCCACUCAUUGUAUAAUGUGUUUAUACGCCAGCUCACUUGAAUGUAUAUAAAAGCAAAACUGCUUAUCUUAUCAACCUCAUUCACUCAUGUAUCCCUCUGUUUGUUCAUAAUUGUGUUGAAUUUAUACAACUUAAAUGUAUUUUAUUCAUCCGAUUACGCCUGAAACAGCUGGUUCCCGCAGCAACUCAUGGGCAUAUUUUCUAGUAGAGGCUAUAAUUAACUGCAUCAAUCCAGUUUUCUUCCUCAAUAUUGAAAAAGGUUUGUCGAUAAAAAGUGCUUGUAUUUUGUAUCUGGUUAAUAGAACUGAAAAAUCGCGUUAAGUUGUUUUGAAAAUAACAUAAUUAAGUGCUCGAAUCUCUAGAAUUAUAACUAAAAUUUCAUAUAGUUGUUGCACUUGAUGCACUUUUUAUCAAUUAGUUGAGCAUAAUCUUAAUUUAGAAGAUUUGCAACCUCGAGAGAAUUAGUUUUGAAAAGGACACUUAAUUACGUCUAGAACACCUUGAGUGCUAGUCGGGCAACUCUGAGUUGGAGGGCCACUUCAUUGGCUUACAUUGUUAGUAAUUGAACUUGAGAAAUCAACAUCAAAUACUGGAGUUUCUACGUUCAAAUUUAGUGAACUGGCCCCAAUUCCUUACGGAAACACCAUUCAUGGCUACUAAAGCGCAGAGACUCCAGCAAAUAGACAAGGACUUAAAGAUUCCAUUAAAUAGACAAGGGAGUUGUAGUCAUCGGACCCUCGAUUCAUCAAUGGAUUAAGUCAUUCGGACUUCUUUGUCCACAAACUCCUCGGCGAAAACAAAACAGUAGCAUUCGGGUUAGACUGAUUGAUUUGAAGUUUUCUGUGGUCCUCAACGAGGGCUGCCGAGGUGGUCGGGCGGUUUUUGCCUUUGCAUACAUUCAACGAAACAGAGGAAUUACCAGUGAAGAAAAUUACCCAUACCAGAGUUUUGAUGGCACAUGUGAUAUGAACGAGGCAAAUGAGGCUGCUGCCCACAUAACUAGUUAUGCAGAGGUACCUCCCAACAGUGAAACCGAUCUACUCAAGGCUGUGUCCAUGCAACCAGUCUCCGUUUCCAUCCAUGCCUCACCAGCCUUUCAGCAUUAUUCAGGCGGGGUGUUCACCAGUGAUGAUUGUGGGACAAAAUUGAACCACAGCUGCAAUGGCAGUUUGCUGGAUUAUGCCUUUGAAUACAUAUAGCAAAACCGAGCAAGUGACAAAACGAGCAAGCUUCCCGGAUAACUGGUUAUGGAACAUGCCUUCCACAGUGAAAACGACCUAUUGAAGGCCGUGUCUCCAUGACGAGCCUUUCAGUUUCCUAAGGUGGGAUUUUCUCCAACGAUCGUGGGACAGAACUGAACCAUGCAUUUGCAACCAUCGGGUAAGGAGUGAAUAAAGACGGCACCAAUUAUUGGUUGCUCAAGAUGGGAUGGGAGGUGGGGUGAAGUGAGAAUGUCUAUAUGAAAAUUUGCAGAAACAUGCCAUUGUAUCUUGGUCGGCUGGCUAUGGAUUCUUCUUAUCAAACUAUCUAAACAAUAGAUAUAAUCAAAGGGUUGAGAGAUCAUCUCGACUUCACCUAACAAACCAAAACUACCAGGCUUCGCCUAAAGCCAAGAAAAUUUCUUGUAGUAGCUGAUCUAUACCAUUCAAUAAACUUUCGGGAUCUUAUAAAACAUUAUUGAAAACAGGAUAAUCUAUACAUUUCAUUUGAUAUUGAUAACCUAGAAUUAUACAGCUUUACCUUUGGGUGAUGAACCAUGGUUUCUUCACUGACGUAACCCAGUAUCGUACAGCUUCAUCUUUGGUGAUGGUUAUGCCUUCAAGCCACUAUGAUACCCCUAGUGAGUACAAUAUCGAUGAUAUAUACGGAUUUACCUUCAGACGGCGUUAGCACCAUUAUUGAGCAUUAUUUUACACGUACUUGUUUUACGAAUGUUUUCAUGGCAUGCUAGAGUUUUCAAAAAACCUAUUAUGUAGUAUUGUAUGUGUUUUCAAAACAGGGGGUUAGCAUGUUCAUAAAGAAAAUGGUUUUCUUAUUAUUAGUACUAUUAUUACAAAUUUUGCUCCACUCACUCUUUUGGUUUUGCACCCCCUUAAGAGUUAGAAUCGACGCACACGAUCCCAGCAUCAGGGCACGUCCACUUAGGUAUUUUCGAGUCUCCUUAGGGUAGGACUAGUUCCUCUAUUCGUACGUUAUUAUAAUAAUUCUUUCAUAUUAUUCUUGAUUAGUUGUAUGCUCUGAACACAAUUCUGAGUUGGUAUAUUUCUUUCUAAUUACAUAUUUUAAUUGUAUGCAUGUUUAAAAUGGCUUCGUCACCUUCGGAUGUCGGCCAGCACGUGCUUUGACGAAGGAAAAGCCAAGGGAGUCUUAGGGAGACGAGGGAUGAUAACCUAGGAUUCGCUCAACCAAGGGCAACGAUGCUCGCUCAUGUCGUUAAUCGUGGAUUCUCUCACACGACCAAGCCAAAUGCUUGAUUUUAGAAGGAUAAAUCACUCUCUUCAAAUGCACAAGGCAAAUACAAUUUUAAUUCAUUCAAGUCUGUCAUCCAAGGCUUUCUAGUACAAUAAUUAUAAGCGUUUACAAAUUAAUAGACUUUAAGUUUCUAUGACACCCUUACAACUCCCAAAACAACUUAACAAAUUCCUAAGUAAUUAAAAUACAUAACCUUUGUUAUUCCAAUGCAUAUUAAUGGUUUCAAAUUGUUUUCUCCAAGUCUACUUCCUGCACUACCCUGAUAUUUGGGGAUAUCGGGUCGGAGCAUGUCAAAAUAUGUGAUUGGAGACAUGUUUUUGUAGAGUGAGAUUAUGGUACUAGUCCAGCAAUCACCAUGAAGGUUUAGAAAAUCCAUUUCCUAAUCAUGCCAAGACAUUUUCUUUCAUUUCAUCUUCAACUUUCUCAAGCCAGGAAUCCACCACAGAUAGCUCUUUCAGCUUCAACUUUCUCAAGCUAGGAACCCACCACUUGUAUCAGAUUCCAAUCAAUUGAAACACGACAGGGUUGUUAUCUAUGACAAAAAGAAAUCCCUCGAAUCACAGGAUAAGACGCAAAAUGCACAUCCAGGACAUGCUGAACGUUUUCUAUAUAAAAUGGUUAUCAUGCUUGCUUCUUCACAUCCAGCUUGCCAAUCACUACUUGAAACAAAGCCAUUGUCGACACAGAGCGCCCUCUCAUCAACACUGGUGCUUUGUGAGCAAUGGCUUUCAAAAGAAACCUUUUGAUUGUUACCAUACUCAUCACCUUGGGGACCUUGGCAUCUGAAGCCACGUCCCGCACAUUGUACCAAGCUUCCAUUGCUGCAAAACAUGAGCAGUGGAUGAAAAAGCAUGGACGCGUUUACCAGGACAGCGUGGAGAAGGAAAGGCGUUUCCACAUAUUCAAAAACAAUGUGGAGUUUGUCGAAAAAUUCAACAGUGAAGGGAACAUGACUUACAGCCUAGGCAUCAACCGAUUUUCAGAUAUGACCUAUGACGAAUUCCUCAGGCAUUAUACAGGAUACAAGCAGCCCACUGAAUCAACCUCAUCCGCAGAUGCAUCAUUUACGUACGAAAACCUAAGCCCGACAGACGUUCCCCAAAGCAUUGACUGGAGGGAGAAUGGAGCUGUUACUCCAGUAAAAGAUCAAGGGCGCUGUGGUAAGAGCACCAACCACCAUAUUAAUAUAGGGCUAAGCUUCCUUGUACAUAUAUGUGUAUUACAUUAGUUACUUUCUUCGUGCAUUCAUUCCUACGGAAAUUAAUUCAUAUGCGUUUGUUCAAAAUACAUGCAGGUUGUUGCUGGGCAUUUUCUGCAGUGACAGCAGUCGAAGGGAUUAUCCAAAUCAAAACUGACAAAUUGAUCUCACUGUCUGAGCAACAACUUGUGAACUGUGAUACAGAUAACAAUGGCUGCCAAGGUGGUUGGAUGGUUAAUGCCUUUGCAUACAUUCAACGAAACAGAGGAAUUACCAGUGAAGAAAAUUACCCAUACCAGAGUCUAGAAGGAACAUGUGAUACGAACAAGGAAAAUGAGGCUGCUGCCCAGAUAACUAGUUAUGCAGAGGUACCUCCCAACAGUGAAACCGAUCUACUAAAGGCUGUGUCCAUGCAACCAGUCUCCGUUUCCAUCCAUGCCUCACCAGCCUUUCAGCAUUAUUCAGGUGGGGUGUUCACCGGUGAUGAUUGUGGGACAGAAUUGAACCACGCUGUUACCAUCAUUGGGUAUGGGACAACUGAAGAUGGCACCCCCCAUUGGUUAAUCAAGAAUUCAUGGUCCGAUACGUGGGGUGAGAAUGGCUACAUGAAGAUUCUUAGAAACGCUGAUGCCCCAGGUGGUGUUUGUGGCCUUGCUAUAAGACCUUUCUAUCCGACUAUGUAAUGUAUUAAUCAAAGGGUGGAGUGAGCUUCUCCACUUUGCCUAUAGGUUAUUAGUACUACAGACAAAACUCAUAGGCUGUGAAAAUGCCUGUAAUUUGUACUUUAUAUUCAACAAUGAAUUUUCCUACCCUGCUUAGGCUAAAUUAAUAACCACAGCUGCAACGGCAGUUUGCUGGAUUAUGCCUUUGAAUACAUAUAGCAAAACAGAGCAUGUGACAGAACGAGCACGCUUCCCAGAGAACUUAUGGAACAUGCCUUCCACAGUGAAAACGACCUAUUGAAGGCUGUGUCUCCAUGACGAGCCUUUCAGUUUCCUAAGUAGGGAUUUUCUCCAAUGAUCGUGGGACAGAACUGAACCACACAUUUGCAACCAGAAUUGUAUAGCUUUACCUUCGGGUGAUGGACCUUGGUUUGUUCACUGAUGUAACCCAGUGUCGUACAACUUCACCUUUGGUGAUAAUUAUGUCUUCGGGCCACUAUGAUACCCCUAGUGAGUACAAUAUCGAUGAUAUAUACAGAUUUACCUUUGGGCGGCGUUAGCACCAUUAUUGAGCAUUAUUUUACACGUACUUGUUUUACGAAUGUUUUCAUGGCAUGCUAGAGUUUUCAGAAACCUAUUAUGUAGUGUUAUAUGUGUUUUCAAAACAGGGGGUUAGUAUGUUCAUAAAGAAAAUGGUUUUCUUAUUAUUAGUAUUAUUAUUAUAAACUUUGGUCCACUCACUCUUUUGAUUUUGCACCCCCUUAGGAGUUAGAAUCGAGGCACCCGAUCCCGGCAUUAGGGCAUGUCCACUUAGGUAUCUUCGAGUCUUCUCAAGGUAGGACCCGUUCCUCUGUUUGUACCUUUUUAUAAUAAUUCUUUCAUAUUAUUCCUGAUUAGUUGUAUGCUCUGAACACGAUUCUGAGUUGGUAUUUCUUUCUAAUUACAUAUUUUAAUUGUAUGCAUGUUUAAAAUGGCUUCGUCACCUUCGGGUGUUGGUCAACACGUGCUUUAACGCAAGAAAAACCAAGGGAGUCUUAGGGAGACAGGGGAUGAUAACCUGUGAUUCGCUCAACCAGGGGCAACGGAGCUCACUCACGUUGCUAAUCGUGGAUUCUCUCACACAACCAAGCUAAAUGCUUGAUUUUAGAAGGAGAAAUCACUCUCUUCAAAUGCAUAGGGCAAUAAAAUUUUAAUUCAUUCAAGUCUGCCAUUCAAGGCUUUCUAGUACAAUAUUUAUAAGCGUUUACAAAUUAAUAGACUUUAAGUUUCUAUGACACCCUUACAACUCCCAAAAUAACUUAACAAAUUCCUAAGCAAUUAAAAUACAUAACCUUUGUUAUUCCAAUGCAUAUUAAUGGUUUCAAAUUGUUUUCUCCAAGUCUAUUUCCUGCAUCAUGCUUACCCUGAUAUUUGGAAAUAUCGGAUCGGAGCGUGUCAAAAUAUGUGAUUGGAGACAUGUUUUUGUAGAUUGAGAUGAAUGGUACUAGUCCAGCAAUGACCAUCAAAUCUCAAAUCUUUCUUCCAAAAAACAUGUUUUUGUAGAGUGAGAUUAAUGGUACUAGUCCAGCAAUCAUCAUUCAACAGGCCCAGAAAAAAAGUCUCACGGGCUGAAACAAAGCCCAAAAUGCAGCAUCAAAUCUUUCUUCCAACUUUGCCCGUAACAAAAGUUAACCAAAAUUAGUUAAAACAACUUCAUUUUAUUUACAAAAUUACCACCCAGCUUAAAAAGUCAAAUAAAAUCAAAAUUAGUUUAAUUUUCUAUUUUUUUUAUAAAACAAACGUUGCAACCACCCAUAUCAUGACACUUUUUUUAUUCCCAAUUUGAUAAUAUUAUGUUAAUAUUUGCUCCAAAGCAGGCAACCCACUUUUGUUCUUGAAAAUAACUAGAACAAAAUAACCAUUCACUAGACCCUAACUGCCAUAGUUUUGUAAUUAACUUUUUUUAUUUACAGGUCGUGUUUAACAUUCUUUAGGAAUAAAAAUUGCUAUGUUGUUUCUUCCAAAUAUUUAUUCACCUUUGACCCAACCAAAAAAAAUAUUUCGUAAUAACUCAAUAGCUUAAACGUAUUCAAAUGGCUAAUUUCAGUGAUGUCUUCCAAAGACACCUUUACAAACUCAACCAUAGCAAAAACGGAUAGCAAAGUAAAUGACAUCAACACAAAUUUUAUGCAAAACAACUAUGAAGUGCAGGCUGCAAUUUGCAACCACUAGAUCAAUUCCAACCAUUUCUAACACAAAAAAUUAUUAUGGUUGCAAGCAACCAUUUCUUAUUCGACAAUUUGAAAACUUUUACAUACACCGUACUUUUAUCCAAAAGUGUUACAUCACUUCAAAACUAUUGGAGCAAUGCUUUCCGUUUUUAAAAUUUAAACCAAAGCUAGUCUAUAAUAUAAAUCAUUUACAGUUAACAAUUACAUGCAUAACUACUAAAUGUAAGAAAUGACAGACCACCAACUCAAGAUAUCGUAUCGCUUACUCAAAUAAUUUUCCCUCUAGCCUUGCAGUGAGGCCUUGUUUAUGGAGUCUAUGUUAUGCUCAUACAAAGAAUAAAUUUACCAUUUAAGAUCUACAACUUCCAAUGACAGAUGUGACAAAAGCUUUCACUUCUUCCUUAUGUGUCAUGGUCAACUCCACAAAUCUCUUUAUAUGGUUCCAAGUAGGGGUGGGUUCGGUUCAAAUCGGUUCGGUUUUUUGCCAAAACCAAAACCUAACCGAAAUUUUGGUUCGGUUCAAUUUUUUUCGGUUCGGUUUUUUUUUGGUUUGGUUUUUUCCGGUUCGGUUUCAGUUUUUUUUCAAAAAAUGAAAAAUUUUGAAAUCUUAAAUUUUAACAUAUCCAACACAAUCAUAACAUAAAUAUUCUGACUAGACUUAAAGAUAAUGAAAAUAAACAUUUAAAGUUCAACUAGAAUUAUAACAUAAAGGUUUUUUUUUAAUAUUUUAGGUUUAAAGUUUAACUGUAAAUAAAUUUCUUUUUAGACGAUGAUGAUGGAGUACGACCUUAUUCAUUCCUCUCUUUCUCUCAAUCUCUCUCUCUCUCUCUCUCUCUCUCUCUCUCUCUCUCUCUAUAUAUAUACAUGUAUUCUUCACUAGCAAUAAGAUAAACAUUCUAUAAUAUACUAUUUAUUUUGAUUAUUGUCUAGGUAACAAUUUUUUAUAUUUUCUUUAUCUUUAUGGUCCGAAUUUUUUUUAUCCAUAUAUGUGGUUACAUAAUAUAAUUUCUCUGUGUUCAGCUUCUACCACCAGCAAAUUUUGAAGAGGUGUUCAUCAAUAUUUUUAAUAUAUUGAUAUACUUUUCAAAGUUGUUAGGCCACGGAAGCUACUAUACUUGGCCAUAGGUGAGAAAGUUUGAAUUUUGUUUUUGAUCUCGUAGUGUUUAAUAAACUCAUGAGACUUUUAUACGAUGUUUGCUUUCCCUAAUCAACUGCAGUGCAGUUGAGAUAUGUGUUCUUAUAUAUGUGUUGCACUUAAUGAUAUAAACUAGAAAUAUUGCAUGUAAUGGUAUAAGUUCUAAUUUUUGUUGUAGAUGGAGAAGCUGAGAAGACAACUUGAAUUGGAAAGCAAACAAGUCCUACCAAAGCAGCAGUCUGAAGUAUCAUAUUCUAAUAUAAUAAAAUCAAAUAAUUAAAUAAAUAAAAUUAAAAAAAUAUUAAUUUAAUUAUUUUGGUUCGGUUUCUAGACCACCAAAACCGAACCGAACCAAAAGAGUUUGGUUCGGUUCGGUUUUUUCGUUCGGUUCGGUUUUUUCUAUUUCGGUUCGGUUCGGUUUUCAGUUUUUUGAACCCACCCCUAGUUCCAAGGUUCCUUAGCCUCCCAUUUACAUUAUUUUUGGAAAUGAAUACUAACUAUUCCUAUAACCGAACAAAUGCACUGUCAUUAUUUCGUAAACUGAACAAUUACUAUUUCUAGAAUUGAACACGGGUACCAUAACUAUUUCUUCAAUAGUGUGGAUUAUUUUGCUGUAUUUCUACAAAUAGUGUUUAUUUUGUUAACUUCAAGAAAUAGUGUGGAUAUUUUUGUUCACUUCCAAAAAUAAUGUGGAUUAUUUUGGGUUCAGUUUCAGAAAUAGUGUGAGUUAUUUUGGUGAGAUUCCAAAAAAAAGUGUGAGUUAUUUUGAUCCAAUUUCAAAAAUAGUGUGGAAUAUUUUGGUUCAAUUUCAAAAAUAGUGUAAUUUUUCUGUAGUUCCAGAAAUAGUGUGAGUUAUUUAUUUUGGUUCAGUUUCAUAAAUAUUGUGGGUUAUUUUGGUGCAGUUUCAUAAAUAGUAUGAAUUAUUUUUGUUUAGUUUCAGAAAUAGUGUGAAUUAUUUUGGCUUAGUUUCAUAAAUAGUGUGAGUUAUUUUGUUAAGUUCCAGAAAUAGUGUUUAUUUUGUUCCCUUCCAAAAAUAAUGCGGGUAAUUUUGCUAUAAUUCCAAAACUAUUAUCGGUUAUUUUGGUUUAGUUUCAAGAAUAAUGUUUGUUAUUUUGUUGUAGUUUCAGAAACAAUGUUUAUUUUGUUCAUUUUCAUAAAUAGUGUAAGUUAUUUUUGUUCAAUUUCAUAAAUAGUGUAGAUUAUUUUGCUGUAGUUCAAAAAAUAGUGUUUUUUUUUUGUUUUCUUCCAAAAAUAGUGUGCUAUUUCUUAAAUUGAACAAAGUUUUCCAACUUUUAAGAGCUGAAACUAGCAUUAGUAGAUUCAAAAGUACGAAACUCUGCAAACAAAUCAAAUUUACAUAUAAAAAGUUAUAUUUUGUUUAACAUCGUCCAAAUAAUUGCUAAAAAACAUGGUGACCAUCAAGAUCUAACAUCAAAUAAUUCCACAACUUGGUAAGGAAAUAGAAUUCCCUAUUAGUCAAGGACGAUUGUAGUUAUACAAUUUAAGAUAAUUUCCUUCCAUCCACAAAAGAUGUACAACUAAUAAUACCAAAGCAUUAUAUACCAAAAAUGUAUAUUCUCACUGAAGAAUUCCUCAAUGAUAGGAAGCCCACCAUUAAAACCUACGUGUGGUACACCAAAGCGUAAGUCGAAGAAAAAUGCCCUCAAGUAUGAUUAGAGAGAGAGAGAGAGAGAGAGAGAGAGAGAGAGAGAGAGAGAGAGAGAGACAGAGAGAGAGAGAGAGAGAGUGAGUGAGAGGGUGUGAGAGACAUACUUCUUGAAUCACACAAUGUUCAAUCAAUAUCAAAUAGAAAUGCUUGUCUAGAAGCGACACAAGCUAGAGAAGAUUUUUGUCUUCACAUAAUGGAAGGUGAUUAUAGCAAGCACUCAAGUGACAAAUAUUGAAAGUAUAAAGAACAUGACGAAACUAAGAUGCUAUGUCUAGUGGCUUGACCCAAUGAAACACAAUUGUUUGUUCUAAAGUAAAUAUACUUCCUGUUAACAUAUAUUACAGUUAAAAAUCCUGAAAUGCGAUAAGAUACCAUACCUUUCUUGUCAAUUUUGGUGAGUCUUAACAUUUCACAAAAUGCAUUACAAAAAUUUCUUAAUAAAACUAUAAAUAUUAUAGGACACAGAAAAUUAUCGUAGUGCAAAGAAAGAUUAUACGCUCUUGACCCUUGUCCUGCUUAAUGUUUUCUCGAGUUUAAGCUAUACUGAGUUGGCAAUGUAAAACUAAUAACAAGUAACCAGAAGAUAAAUAACUUUUCGAACUUAUCACUGUGACAUAGAUUUGUGAUCAAAAUUCCUCCUAGUCCAAGACCAAAGCCUGAAGGGGUUGAAUACUUUGAACUAAUAAGAAUGAACAUAUUUGUUAAGGUAGGAUAAGGAUCAAACGUAUUAAAUUGUCCAUUGUAUCAACCAUUCAUCCACAAGCCUACCAUUUGAACUCCAAAAUAAUUUCACUUAUCUUGUCAACCAUUGGAUAUCAAUUACCUUUUAAAUGCUUAGACAGACACCAUCCCCCAGUCCAAACCACAACAAAAGGGAAAAAGAAAGGUUUUAGUUACAUAGUUCAAACACGAAAAGCAUUAAAGGUCUACAAUUACAGGUCAACCGAUGUCUCAGAAAACUAUGAUCAGGCACCUAAAUGUAGGUGAGGCAAUACGAGUCGCUCAGGAAAAGGCUGAUGCAACCUGCUUAGCUAAGCAAUUUGCCAACAAUCCUAAAAAUGUAAAAACGUUUGAUGAUUUUGUUUGCUUGUUUGUUCAGAAUCAAGAUUAAAAUUCCUAAGAACAAUGCAAUGCUAUUCUCAAAUACAACUUCCUGUAAUGAAAUUUGAAAACCACAAACCCCAACUCCACUCAUUCCAUCCAGAACACAUCAAAUAUAGUAUUAUAAUUUAAUCGAGUUAAAACUCAUUAGGGAUAGAUCAACAUUCACAAAGAUAGAAUCCCACGUCAACAAUGAAAAGAGGUCAAACCAUAUGGGAAUUGGAUGAUUGCGUUAAACUAUUUAAGAUGAAUAUGUACUAGAAAAGUAACUAAAAGAAAUUUUAAGAGAUAAUUAGAUAAUAAAAACUCAUCCCUCAUAUUAAAAAGGAGGUGCCAAAUGAAGCACCUAACAAAUUGAAAAGCAAAAAGCAUGAAGAAAUAGCUCUGACCAUUUGUUCAAGCUCUUGACCUCCUCGUUUGUCACUUGCCCUCCAAGCCCAGCAGCUCCAGCUUCCGGUUGCCGUGGUCUUCACCUUCAUCAUUAAUUCGAUUGCAAAAAUUCAAUAACAAAAAAAAAAAAAAAAAACCGUGAAUUGAAAUCAGGAACAAAAUCAGAAAUAUGCAAAUACUUUAAACAAGAAACCUAAACGAGAAGAGAGCGUACUAUUUGAGGAGAAACUGAGCUCUAGAGCCUCGACACUGAGCCGCUUGCCCGUGCUUAUCGGAUUCGAUGAUUCAAUUUAUUUGUGAAUUGGUGGAAUUCGAAUUGAAAAUGAAAAAGAGAUUGGGUGGGGAGAGAGAGAGAGAGAGAGAGGAGAGAGAGAGAGAGAGAGAGAGAGAGAGAGAGAGAGAGAUUGCAACAAUGGAGGAAGUGAGAUUGAAUUGGAAAUAAAAGCAAUAGCAGAGAAUAGAUGGAGGAGGAUCGAGAAAGUGAGAGAAACAAGUUUACGUCACCGUAAUGAAAAUAUGAGGAAUUGAAUUGAGGAGGAGUUGGAAUGAGAAGAAGUCAAAAUCGGAUUUCUGUUGAAACUGUUUACUUAAAUGUUCUGGAAUCGAAAUAGAAUUUCAUAAAGUUGUUUACUAAUUCAACAUAAUCAGAAUAUAAACCAAUAUGAUUACUAAAAUACCCUUGUUCCAAAUCAAAUAUGUAUUAAUGCUAGCCAAGAUAGUGUAAGCCACCAUGAUUUGCGUAUAUUGUUUAUAACCUACUCUUUGUGCUCGAUGGUACUUGAGCUAUGCUUGAUGUUACUUGAGCUAUGCUUAGGCGUGCUCAUUUUGUUCUUAGGAUUGUGUAUGUCAUGAACAGUAUGAAAUUCCAUAUGGUGGAAUGAUACAGUUUUAUAAAUGUGUUAGACAACAUAAUAACUAUUGAGCUUGUGUUUCAGAGAGUGUACUGAUGAAAAUUUUCCAUAUCUUUGGUGGUAUCAGGGCAGUCUCAGCCACCAUGCCACAUUUCAGUGUUUCUUGAAGUUACUGAUUCACGGAAUACUUCCAAUGACUAGAGUAGCACAUGCAACAAAUAUAGUUCGAAGAUAGACAAUCAACACAUUCAACGCAGCUUGUAAUUUCUUCUUUGUGGACAAACUUAGAUGAGCCAUUAGUCUACACAAAAUAAUGAAGAAAAAAAAUUUCAUGAAGGACUUCAAUUAACAAGUUAACAAACAUAUCAGCAAACUGAAAUAAAUUAACAUUACAGAACACAAUCAAUCACAAAAAUUUAUAUUUUUUUUCCUCCAUACCUAGUCUCACAAUUAACGGAUAAAUAACAACAUAAAUCAUAGUAUACCUGCUGUUGGAAAUUUUGAGUAGUUUGAGUAGAAAUUUCUUUGUUCCACAUUGACCAUUCCCAAAAGAUUUUAUCACUUUAUAAGGCUUUGUCCUUUAUAGAAAGUGAUUGGAGUAAUAGGCCUGGAGACUAAAAUUGGGCUCACCCGUGGGGUUGGGUUUAGGGGUGUAUUAAUUAAUUGAUAAUUAAUAUAUAAUUAAUAUAUAUUUAAUUGUCAAAAGAUGGGCCUUGGGCCUUCUUGGGCUCUAAUAAUUAAAUUAAUUAAUUAUUUUUAAUUUCAAAUUUAAAUUAAUUAAUUAUUUUUACCAACAGACUCAUCUUUUCAGAUGAAGUCUGAAGUGUGAGAAUGCAGAAACAAAAACACAAUUUUCAGCAAAUGUCUCCCAACAGAUGCAUCCCUUCCUCAUACCUGUUGUGAACAGGUAUAAUCACAUUAUAUAUACAUCCAUCUGCAUGGCAUUUAGAAUACAGAAAAUAAUCAACUUCAUCUUCUAGAUUCCUAAACCUUCUUACUGAGAGAACCACACUAAAUUCGCCAGAAGUUAAAUUUUCCGGUGCUGGAAUUUUAAUUUGAUCGUUGAAUCCUGGUGAAGCAGACGUCCGUAGAACUACAAGCAUAGAGUAGGGACGAAAUUUCUGUUUCAAGGACAUUGCGAUACGCAAGCCUCGAUCUUCAAGUUGUCUGUUUUACAAUUCAUAUUCUAGUUUAUAUUCUAUUAAUUCCUAUUGCAUUCAUUAUUUAUUAGCAUAUAUAAAUUAUCACAGAUUGUUGACUUAUAUCCAACACCUGCAACCAGUGAAGAAAGCUCAACCCACAACCUUGUCCUCACUCUUCCUAAUUUCAUAAAGAUGAUGAAUAUUUAAUUAAUAAACAUUUGUGAGCAUAAAGAAUUAGGGAUAAAGUACUCUUCCUAAACAAUACAACAUUUCAAACAUCAAAACAAAUCAGGCCCACUUCACAAAUCCAAAAACCAAUAACAAAGUUUCCAACUUAUUGAAAUUCGUAAAAAAACUUAUCAAUCCCACGCCCUCCUCUCUCUCUCUCUCUCUCUCUCUCUCUCUCUCUCUCUCUCUCUCUCUCUCUCUCUCUUCCAUCGAACCCCACCUGAAAAAAUCAAGACUCAUCAAUCCAUCAUCAUCUCAUUCCUCACCACCUUCAUUAUUCAGACCCCACCACCUCAAAUCCCUACAACUCAGACCCCACCACCUCAAAUCCCUACAACCAGAGCAAAUCACUAGCCGUUUUUCAUCGCUACUCAAGCAGAAGUCAUGGGGGUAUGCAAGCUAGUCUUUUUUUUGCCCUUUAAUUUAGUUAUUGAAUUUGUAUCAAUGUAUGUAUGCGUAUGGUUCUGUGUUUGAUCUGAGACUGAGUUUUGUUUGUGGAGCAAUUCGAUUCGUUUCCAGCAACAGCUUGGUGGUGGAGUUGAAAUUGAAGAACUAGUCGGCAGGAAUCAAUUCAGCCUCUCUCUCUCUCUCUAACAAGUGAAGUGAAGUGAAGGAAGCAAUGAAAGAUUCAGCAGGAUGCAAGGAAACACAAUUAAUGGAAAAUCUUUCAUUUAUUUUCUAUCAGAGGUCAGAGUCUUCGUCCAGAAACUCAUUUACCCGUGUUGUUCAAAGCAAAAAAUUCAAUAUAGAGAUAAAAACGCAGAAGAAGUAGGGAUUUACCUGUCCGUAAUUGUGACGAGAGCUGCGGCUCAAAGGAGAGAAAGGCAUGCGUCUGAGAGAAGAGAGAAAGGAUCUAUGUGAAAAGGAAAUAGUCUAGGGUUAAAAGGAUAAUCUUGGAAGUAAUGAAAAUAAGUGAGGGUAUAAAGGAAAAAAAAUUAACAUUCUAAUUGCCCCAAGCCAUCCGGUAUCCAAAUACCUCAUUUAUGUUGGGAAUCCAAAUCAGCCAAAUAUUGAAAUUGGAUUCCGAAAUUUGUGUGGAACCCACUAAAUUUUGAUUCAUCUAGAUUUGGUAAACACUAGGGUAUGCCGUAAUCGGAAAGGCGUUUCACCAUAUUCAAGAGCAACGUCGAGUAUGUGGAGAAAUUCAAUCGUGAUGAAAAUAACACAUACAAGUUAGGACUCAAUGAAUUUGCUGAUUUGAGCUACGAUGAUUUCGUUUGACAAUAUGCUGGAUACAUAAAGCCCACUGAACAUACAUCAUCCGCAGAUGUAUCUUUUAGGUACGAGGGCUUAGGCGGUCCUGACUCCUAAUGUUCCCCUUAGCAUCGACUGGAGGAUUCAUGGAGCCGUCACCACCGUAAAGAAUCAAGGACCCUGUGGUAAGAGUCUAAGAGAUCAACUUUAAAUGCUUUAUGUUGAGACAUAUAUUUUCACAAACAAAAUAUAUUAGCAAGUCUUAUUAAAAACAGGGAGACUUCAAAAAAUAAUAAUAAUAAUAAUAGAGUCCAAAAUGGCGGACUGACUAGAAAUAAGGCUCACAUUAUGUGUGUGUGUGUAUAUAUUCUUAUAUAUACUAUAUUUAUAUAUAUAAGAAACAAAGAGAGGAAAAAAAAUCCCGCACACGUGGACCUCAACAUAUGCCAAGUCUAAAGGAGUUUGUCAUCUACAUGGCAACCGGGUAUAGAGAUCUUGUGUGUCUAGAACCCUUUAAAAGCUUCCACGUUCUCCACUUAAGUGGUGGUUUUGUCUCAGCAUCUCCACACCCCAGAAAAGUAGCAUCCCACUAACUUCAACUGUCAUGUCCACUGUUCGCCUAUAAAAAGGCAUCGAACCAAAGAAAAGGGGGAAGAAAAAACAAGAGGGGGUAUGCUGCAAAAAUUGAAAGAGGAAUUGAGAAAAAGAAGAGGUACUCUACAGAAAUUGGGAGAGAAAUUGAGAGAGAAAUCCGAACCAAGUCUUUCAAGGAAGGAGAACGAACAACUAACAACCACCAGAAGGUACAAAACCUAUGUUUCUCUUCUCUUCAUUUUCUUUCCAGAAAUUUUGUUUUGCAAGUAGGUGUUUUCUUGAGUAAACUUUGGUAAGCAAAGAAUCUAUAUGCUAGCAACCCUACGUUCUUUUAUACCUGCAACAACAACACGAAGCAGUCCAAAAAUGGGAACAACCACAUGUUUUCUUUCUGCCUAAAUUUGAAGAGAACAAAAACACACAAGAGCUCUGCUCCCCGCCGCUGCUGUCAAUCCCAUGAAUUUCUUCGGGGUGGUCUAAACCACCCCAUGAAGUUCCAAUCAAAUCCAAGACGCUGCAAUGGCUCUAGCACCACCGUCGUUGUGUCUUCAUCGUCAUCAACGCCCUACAACCUGCGAGCAUGUGUCAAGGUCAAACAGCCGUGGUCGCAUCUGAUAAUAGUAUAUAAAGCAAGCUUAACAGCUUGUGAUCGUGUGGUUGUAAUAGUGACAAGUGUAGUCAUCCUGUAAUCCUUGUAAUAGCUUAGAAAGUAAGCAAUCUAGUUAGAUAUAUACUCUACAUAACUAUCAUUGUAAUUAAUCAGAAAAACAGUCAAGUAAUAAAAAAUAUCUUCUCUGUCUGAAAUUUUCUUUCUCUCUCUUCGAAUACUUAUUUCUUCUUCUGCAAGAAUACACCUUCUUUGUAUCUGUUGCUAUCUUUACGUGGUAUCAUUCGCCGGAAAAGCUUCGUGCUUGACGGUUAAUUGAUCUUGGUUAUUUUGCUUCUGCUCUGUGUCUUCCAUCUCUCGAUUUUUUAGGGCUCUAAUUUCCCUCUUCUUCUCUGGUUCUCGGUGUUUGAAAUAUUGCAUACCAGGUGUUUGAUCUUUUACCUCAGUGACAUCUUCUUCGAAUUCUUGAUUCAUAUUGGAUCAUGGUGACUGCUACGCAAUUGCAGAUUCUUCAAUCUCCUAUUACCUCUCUCAUCUCAUCAGUUUCCUCCUCUGUUUCUGUGAAACUUGAUGACUCCAAUUACCUCACAUGGCAUUUUCAGAUAGAGCUUCUUCUCGAAGGCCAUGGUAUUAUAGGGUUUGUAGAUAGUACAAACCCUUGUCCUUCGACCCUGAUCGAUUCAACUGAGUCUUCCAGUGAUUUGCAUAACAGUGAUGCUUUUAAGAUUUGGAAAAUGCAGGAUCGGGCUCUCAUGCAACUCAUCACUGCCACAUUAUCUCCUUCUGCAAUUUCGUGUGCUAUCGGUAGCACUAGUGCUCGAGACUUAUGGGUGCGUCUUAAAGAAUAAUUUUCAAUUGUUACUUGGGCCAUAAUCUUUUAGAUGAAAUCUGAGUUGCAAAAUAUCAAGAAAGGUACAGAUUCCAUUUCCUUAUAUCUUCAACGAAUUAAAGAAGCUCGUGAUUACUUAGUUGCUGCUGGUGUUCUGUUUGCAGAUGAUGAUAUUGUGAUUUUAACUCUUAAUGGUCUGUCUUCUGAAUACAAUACAUUGAGAUCUAUUAUUAGAGGUAGGGAGAAUGUUAUCUCUAUGAAGGAUCUUCGCUCACAAUUGUUUGCUGAAGAAACAAUGCUUGCUAAUGUUCUUGUUACUAUUUUCCUAUCUGCAAUGGUAGCUAGCAAUUUGUCUGCUUCAUCUAAGUCUCCUCACUUUGAGGCCAAUUUGACUCAUGAUAAUUACUCCAGCAAUGGUCAUCCCUUAAAUGGCGGGUCAUAUGGUUCUCAGGGAAGUUUUUAUCAGUCCAAUGGGUCUGGUUCCAAAUCUACUUACAACAAAAACAAGGGUAAAGGCAAGUAUCACUACAAUUCCCGGUUUGGUAAUGCAAAGUCUGGUUCUUUUCAUAACAAUGCUCCUGGUAUUCUUGGUACCUCUCCACCAAAGGCACAAGGGUUUUUCCAAACUCCAUGUCAAAUUUGUGGAAAAUUUGGACAUCUAGCUGUUACUUGCCGGUUUCAAAAUACUGAGAACCCUAUUACAGAAGGUUGUCAAAUAUGUGGAAAAAGGAAUCACAGUGCUCAUUUCUGUCAUUUUCGAAAUGCCAACCUACAAACUCAGCAAGUGUCAGCUAUGCAUGUUGCCGCUCCAUCAUCUGUUCCAAGUGCUCUUCCCUAACAGAUUUGGCUUAUAGAUUCUGGGGCUACAUCUCACAUGACUGUUGACCUUAAUCAGUUGUCAUUGGCCUCUCCAUUUCCUUCCAAUGAGACAAUUCAAACUACUGGUGGUGGUGCAGGUUUAUCAAUUUCCCACAUUGGUUCAUCAAUUCUACAUACACCUUUCAAACCACUGCAUCUUAAUUCAGUUCUAUAUGUGCCUAAACUAACUCAGAAUUUGUUAUCUGUGCAUAAAUUGCGUCUGGAUAAUAACUGCUGGUUAAUAUAUGAUGUUUUGUGUUUUUGGAUCCAGGACAAAGCCACAUGGAGGAUACUUUUCAACGGACAUUGCAGUAAUGGAUUAUAUCCUAUUCCACUACCAGUUUCAUAUCACUCUCCUUUACCCAGAGUACAAGCUGCUUUCCUUGGAAAACAUGUAUCUUUGAGUCUAUGGCAUAGUAGAUUAGGCCACCCAUCCAAUUCUAUAGUAUCUGCCAUAUUACGAAAAUGCAAUGUAUCUGAUAUACUUGAUCAUAAGUCUGUGAUGUGUCACUCUUGUCUAGAAGGGAAAUUUUGUAAAUUACCAUUUGUUGACCUUGUCUCUAAGUCCCUGCAUCCUUUGAUAUUAUUCAUAGUGAUGUAUGAGGUCCUUCCCUUUGUAAUUCUGUGGAGGGUUUUAGAUACUAUGUGACAUUCAUUGAUGAAUGCACUAGACAUUGUUGGCUCUUUCCUCUCUUCAAUAAAAGUGAUGUUUGUUCAACUUCCAUUGCCUUUUACAAUUUUGUGUUAAAUCACUUUGCUAUUUCUGUUAAAACCUUACAAAGUGAUGGGGGAGGUGAAUAUAUUAGCAAGUCAUUUCAACAAUUUCUUGUGACCAAGGGUAUUAAACACCAACUUUCAUGUCCAUACACCCCUAAACAAAAUGGCCUAGCUGAAAGGAAGCAUAGACAUAUUGUUGAAACAGCUAUAACCCUUUUGCAAACUGCCUCAUUGCCUCCAAAAUUCUGGUCAUUUGCAUGCCAAGUUGCUGUCUACCUUAUUAACAGAAUGCCAACACCUGUUUUACACAACAAAUCCCCAUUUGAGUUGUUGUUUAAAGAUGUACCAGCUAUCAAUCAUCUUCGGGUAUUUGGUUGUUCUUGUUUCCCACUGUUAAAACCUUACAAUAACACCAAGUUGCAACCUAAAACAACAAAAUGUGUCUUUUUAGGCUAUGCUUCCAGAUACAAAGGCUACCUAUGCUAUGAAGUGAGUCAACAAAAUAUGUACAUAUCUAGGCAUGUUAUUUUUUAUGAGAGUGAAUUUCCUUAUGCCCUGUUGUCUUCCAAAAACUCAAAUUCAUCAUCUUUUACUCCUUCUAUUUUGUCAUCCUCUAUUUCAAUGCCUUCUGUCACACAUGAUAAUCAGGUUGUCUCUAUAUCAUCUGUAUCUAACUUACCUACACUUGAGUCAAUUCCUAACCCUCCACACCCUGAAUCCAUUACUGCAACAACAACAUAGUCUAUUCUUCCUUAUUCCCCUGUGGCUGCAGAAUUGUCCUCUGGUUCUAAUCAUCAUGAUCACAUUGAGCUUUCUUCAGAGUUUCACCCUGAGAGUUUGCAAGUGGUUCCUUCUCUCCCACCUAUGAAUACACAUGCCAUGCAGACAAGAUCCAAAAAUGGCAUCUUCAAGCCUAAAGUUUUUGUCUCAAAAAUUGGAGAUGACAAUCCAAUUGAUUUAACUCAGGUGGAACCAUCAACAUACAAGUCCGCUCUUAAAUCCUCAGUAUGGUGUGCAGCUAUGACAAAAGAGCUAUCGGUUUUGCAUUCUCAAGGAACUUGGUCCUUAGUUCCUCUUCCUGCAAACAAGAAUUUGGUAGGGUGUAAGUGGGUCUUCAAGAUUAAAAGAGAUGCAGAUGGGAACAUUUCUAGAUAUAAGGCAAGACUUGUUACUAAAGGUUUCAAUCAAGAAGAGGGUAUUGACUAUGGGGAGACUUUUAGUCCAGUUGUUAAACCUACAACUGUGAGGUUAGUUUUGGCUUUAGCUGCACAGUUUGGUUGGUCUUUAAGGCAACUUGAUGUGAAGAAUGCCUUUUUUCAUGGAAUUUUACAAGAAGGGGUUUAUAUGUCUCAACCUCUAAGUUUUGUCAACUCUCAACAGCCCUCUCAUGUUUGUAAGUUACAUAAAUCCUUAUAUGGCUUGAAACAAGCCCCAAGGGCUUGGAAUGAGAGGUUUACCAAUUUUUUGCUUUCUCUGGGUUUUCUUACAACGUAUUCAGACUCCUCAUUAUUUGUGAAACAUGUUGGAAAUUCUGUGGUCAUUCUAUUGCUAUUUAUGGAUGAUAUAAUCAUCACAGGCAGUGCUACUGCAGCUAUUACUGAUGUUAUACAGGCUUUAGCUCAAGAAUUUGAUAUUAAAGAUUUUGGACCACUCCAUUACUUCUUAGGGAUCCAAAUUACUCAUCAUUCUACUGGAUUAUUCCUCUCACAGUCUAAGUAUGUUACAGAUUUGCUUCACAAGACUGAUAUGGGUCUUUCAAAACCGUGCAAUACCCCUUGUCUGCCUUAUAACAGGUUACUUAAAGAUGAUGGAAAACCUUUUCAUAAUCCAGCAUUGUAUCGAAGUGUGGUGGGUGCUUUGCAAUAUCUUACAUUUACAAAACCAAACAUUGCUUUCUCCGUCCAUCAAGUAUGUCAGUUUAUGCACUGUCCCAUGGAGUCUCAUUUUAUAGCUGUGAAGAGAAUCCUCAGAUAUCUGAAAGCCACAAUGGAUUAUGGUGUUCAACUAAGCAAAGGGGAUUUAUGUUUACAUGCAUUCAAUGAUGCUGAUUGGGCUGGGGAUCCAAAUGACAGACGAUCUACUAUAGGUUUGGUGGUCUAUUUAGGGUCUAGUCCCAUAUCUUGGUCAUUCAAGAAACAAAAUACCGUUUCUAAGUCUUCAACUGAAGCUGAAUACCGAGCACUUUCAUCCAUAGCUACAGAGAUUGACUGGAUCACCUAACUUCUGCAGUUUAUUAGGAUUGAUGUCUCAUGUCCAGUCACUCUUUUCUGUGACAAUCUUUCUGCUAUAGCCUUGGCUUAUAAUCCAGUUAUGCAUCAAAGGACAAAGCACAUUGAAGUUGACAUUCAUUUUGUUCGAGAAAGGGUUGCCAAGAAGUUCCUUCAACUUCAGUUUGUUUCUUCCAAUGAACAAUUUGCCGAUAUUUUCACCAAAGGAUUGUCUACUCCAUUGUUUCAGACACAUUGUUGCAAUCUCAGGUUGAGCAAACCUCCUCCUGUGAUUGAGGGGGGAUGAUAACAGUAUAUAAAGCAAGCUUAACAGCUUGUGAUCGUGGUUGUAAUAGUGACAAGUGUAGUCAUCCUGUAAUCCUUGUAAUAGCUUAGAAAGUAAGCAAUCUAGUUAGAUAUAUACUCUACAUAACCCUCAUUGUAAUUAAUCAGAAAAACAAUCAAGUAUUAAAAAAUAUCUUCUCUGUCUAAAAUUCUCUUUCUCUGUCUACGAAUACUUAUUUCUUCUUCUGCAAGAAUACAUCUUCUCUGUAUCUGUUGGUAUCUUUACAGCAUCUUCAAGGACAAGCACGCUUCCCGUAUUCUUGAAUUGAUGGUGCUAUGCACAACGGUCUCGCUGAGAAAGAAAGCCACGAGAACUCUCAAGGAACAACUGUCAUCACAUCCGUAUAUCCGAGUCCAAAGUAGUUACGCCCCCAUCCUGCUCACUCCGCCAUCAACUACCACGUCCCUGAAAGCUCCGUGAGUGUCCCGGCACCAUGCUCUGUCUUUUCAAAAUUAAAGAUUUUUAGCACUGCAACAACCAACACCGCAACACCACCGCUCUUCAACCGUUGUCUUCGGCAAUCCUCCGGAAAAAGCCCAAGAGCAGUGUAAUCCGCAAUCCGAGGAUGGUGAACCAAGUGAUAUAGUUGGGCACGCGGGUUCAGACCAUCAAUAAAUUCGACAGAGGCUCGAAUAAGAAAGUGGCAACGGUGGUCAGUGUGAAGAAGUUAAAGAAGGCAACAUUUGCAUCACCACUUCUGAUGUCAAACGGAAGACAAAGCCAAGGACAGCACCAGCGACUUCAAUGCCGCCAUUACACAACCACUGCACAAAUCUGAGCAUGAUGAUCCAGGUGGCAAGCUCAUGGAUUCGUACGGACAAUUAUUGCCGUCAUUAAUCACGAACAACGAGAAAGAAGAUGCCACAUAAGAGUUCCUUUUGGGACCAAACAAGCAUCUCAUGGCAGCCAGGAGUUGCAGAAAAAGGGACAAUGCGCAUGGAUGCAUAGAAGGCUUGCUAGAAAUGAAUUGUUCUCUUUCUUUUGUUAAUCACCCUCAAUGUGAUGACAAUAUAAGGAUUAAUUAAAGGAAACCAAUAUAGCAUGGGGUUCGAAAAGUUUGUUUAAAGGUGAAAAUGAGGCUCCCAAAAAUUUACUGCACAAAGGGCUCCCUAUUUUCCUAUCGUUUCUAUGGAGUUCGUAGCAAGAACAAAGAGCAUUGUUGCCUUCCUCAUAUAAUGAUCGCUACUCUAAAUAUUAAAACACGUUGCUGCUUUUCGGUAUAAUUUUCUUAAAAGUCUCCAGAGCUUUCAUAAGUUCCAUGAAGAAAGGAAAUGCAAAUAGCACGUGAUGAAGAGCAAACAAAUGGGGAUGCCGUGCAUGCGAUUCCCUAGAAAAAUGGUCAAAAUAUUAUUAGAAAAUGGUGAAAAGAUGGCAAAUCAUGAUCAUCAUCACCAUGAGGAAAGCCACUUAUGUGGCAUUGAAAUUAAAGAGUUAAAAUAAAAAGGCCUUCCUCUUUGAUUUAAUGCACCAAAAGGCAAAGCCUUCCUUUAUCCUUUGUGCUUCUGCUGAGCACCGAAAUCACCACGUGGAAAGCAAGUAGACAACAAGUGGAUGUAAACAAAAAAGAAGCAUCCAAAUGCUACUGCCUUAAUAACUCAUAUGACUUAAAUAUUAAUCAUCUUUAUGACUAAGUCAUCAAUAUUAGUCAUCAUUAGCUUGCUGACAAAGUUGGAGAUAAGUUCGGGACAAAUGGGUUUAAAGUUUCAUUUAAGUGGGAUUGAAAGUUCAAAAGAAGAAUAUAUAAAAUAAAAUAAAAGGGGCUACUUUGAACAAAACCCUUGUGGGAUAAAUCCCGUGAAGGAAUCAGAGGAAAUAUUUUUUUAUUCCAAGCAUGAUUCUCUACAAAUUUGUCAAAAGAAAGAAGCUGCAAAGGAAAAGGGAAAAAACGAGUUUAAAACUCAAAAGGAAGAGAAAGAGCUUCAACCAAAAAUACAAAAGAGGCUUUUAUUACAUCGGAAGUAAAUAAAAAUUGUGGAUGUGGUCUUCUUUUCAGCACGUAAAGUCCUAUGUGACUUGAAAGAGUUCAAGCUGUCCCAAGUUCACAGAAAAGGAAAAUACUUGCUAUCAAACUUCCUUGGGAAAGGCACUCACGUGAAAAUCAAAAGGAAAAAGCCAUCUCAAAGACCCUUUUUUUUACCAGUUGUUGUGUGCUCUAUUACACUAGGAACUCAAGACUAUCAUAUUAUUUCACAAAGAAAUAAUGUGGAGGGAGGAUGCCUCACGUCUUUGGUAUGUGAAGAGGAGAUUAUGGUAAUCCCACAAGAAGACAAACACAAACAACCCUCAUUGACCACAAGGAAGAACAAUUAGGAGGAAACUACUUUGUAUAAUGACAAGUUCUUUUCAUACUUGUUGAAAGAAGAAAUGUGCAACUCAUGAUGACACUUUAUCUUUGGUUGCUGCUCCAUUCUUCAAAUGAUGUUUCGGAAAAAGAGGAAGAAAUAGUAUUGCUCACAUGGGUGUCACAGAGCAUGGCCCCCAGUAAGAAGUAUUUGGGCCAAAGUACAGAGGACGUCAAAAUGGCAUGUUCCAUGAAUCCAAAGUCACCAAAAAUAGCUUUUUGAAAAGUUCAAGUGGAGGAAAGGCAAAUUUAAGAAGUUUUGAAGCAUUAACAUCAAACCUAAAAGUGGUUGUGCUCCAUGAAGAGAAACAACAAAUCGUAAAGAAAAGCACCAUAGAAAUGCCCAAAUUCCAAAAUAGCAAAGUGAAUUGGAAGAAAGCUUCAUGAAGAAAAGUCAAUUGUUACUAGCAAGCCCCAGUGCAGUUUCUUCUUAAUCAAAACAAAAGGACUAGAUGACAAGCAUGAUUACAUGCCCGAUAAGAAGAGUUAGCAGCUAGCUACAAAAUCGAUUGCACCACAACAAGUCUUGAAGGGCACAAAGCCGUAUCAAAUCUUAAAUGGCACGAAGCCGCGUAUUGCUCCAAUGGUCCAAAGUCCUCGCCUGCAAGAGCCUAAAUUGCACAAGGCAUCAAAUGCUCCAAUGGCUUAAAGUCCUCACCCGCAUGAGCUAAAACUGCAAAAGGCAUCAAAUGCUCCAAUGGCUCAAAGUCCUCACCCGCACAAGCUAAAACUGCACAAAGCAUCAAACGCUCCAAUGGCUUAAAGUCCUCGCCCGCAUGAGCUAAAACUAUACAAGGCGUCAAAAGCUCAAAUGGUUUAAAGUCCUCGCCCGCACGAGCUAAAACUGCACAAGGCAUCAAACCCCAAUGAGCUAAAACUGCAUAAGGAACUACGAGUGGCUUGAUCCCUCAACGAGGGUACGUAGGCGAUCUAGGGCUCUACCUAGGUGCAGUCACAAAAUCAAAUAAACACCUAAAUCUCCAAGUUACGAUUUAUUCAUAUUAGAAUCAAAGGGUAUUCCUUUCCCAAAAGAAGGGUUGUAAUUAAUAGGCGCAUAGCCUAGAAUGGGUCGAACUUAAAUUAAUAAAACCCUCUUUGAAACAAUGAACGAGGGUGAAAUUGUGUUGAGUGAAUUAUUUGUUUACAUAUUGUGUACAAUUUUUGCUCAACACUUUAUUUUGUAUUACUAUCUUAAAUGUUUUUAUUCUUUCCUAAAUUACAAUACUGUCGAUAUUUAGUCCAUAUCUUACCAUGUAUCAAGUACACUAGAACACAUCACUAUUCCUCGGUUUUGUAGUAUGUAUUGACAUUCAUAAUUUGUGUUGUAUAUUGUAGGCUGUUGCUGGGCAUUCUCUGCAGUGGUAGUUUUGUAAGGGAUUAUCCAGAUCAGAACAGGUCACUUGAGAUCGAUCACUAUCCGAGCAGCAACUUGUGGACUGUUUCGGAGAUUACGGAAACAAGGGCUGCCGUGGUGAUACUAUGGUGACUACCUUUGAAGACAUACCGCAAAACCGAGGAAUUGCAAGCGAAGCAAAUUUGUCACAUCCCGGCCAGGGGCGGACCACUUCCCAGGCCCGCUCCACCACCGUAGCACGAUAUUGUCCGCUUUGGGCUUACCAUUCCCUCACGGUUUUGUUUUUAGGAACUCACGAGCAACUUCCCAAUGGGUCACCCAUCCUGGGAGUGCUCUGGCUCCCUUCUCGCUUAACUUUGGAGUUUCCUAUGGAACCCGAAGCCAGUGAGCUCCCAAAAAGCCUCGUGCUAGGUAAGGAUGAGAAUAUACAUUUAAGGAUCACACCCCUGGGCGAUGUGGGAUGUCACAAUCCACCCCCCUUAGGGGCCCGACGUCCUCGUCGGCACACUUCCGGCCAGGGAUUGGCUCUGAUACCAUUUGUCACAUCCCGGCUAGGGGCGGACCACUUCCCAGGCCCGCUCCACCACCGUAGCACGAUAUUGUCCGCUUUGGGCUUACCAUUCUCCCUCACGGUUUUGUUUUUGGGAACUCACGAGCAACUUCCCAGUGGGUCACCCAUCCUGGGAGUGCUCUGGCUCCCUUCUCGCUUAACUUCGGAGUUUCCUACGGAACCCGAAGCCAGUGAGCUCCCAAAAGGCCUCGUGCUAGGUAAGGAUGAGAAUAUACAUUUAAGGAUCACUCCCCUGGGCGAUGUGGGAUGUCACAAAAUUACCCAUACCAGGCUACUGAGGGAAUAUGCCACCCUAACAACUCAAAUUGGCACGCUUCCGGUGCAAGUAUAACUGGUUACGGAUUAGCUCCUUGCAACAGCGAAAGCGAUCUAAUUAAGGCCGUGUCCAUGCAACUAGUUUCAAUUAGCAUUCAUGUCACCUAGCAGGACUUUAGGUUUUACAAAAGCGGGGUCUUCACAGCUGUACAAGGUUGCAGGACAGUCCCAAACCAUGGUGUCACCAUCGUUGGCUACGGGAAUACUACAGAUGGCACCCAGUACUAGAUACUCAUGAAUGAAUGGCGUGAGAGCUGGGGCGAAAAUGGCUACAUGAGAAUUCUUAGAGAUGCUGGCCCUCCUGAAGGUCUUUGUGGCCUUGCUACAACGACUUCCUACCCAAUUAUAGAUUGAUCGUCUCGGCUUCGAAGGCUACAAUUAAGUGCGUAAAUCUAAUUUUCUUAUCAAUAUUGAGAAAGCUCUGUCGAUAAAAAGGGCUUGUAUUUUGUGUCUAAUUAGCAUAACUGAAGACGGCAUCAAGUUGUUUUGAAAAGAUUAUAAUUAAGGGUGUGGAUCUAAUUUUCUUUUCAUUUAGGUGUGCAGAGUUUUAUCUCAAAAUACCUCAAUUCUCUAGACUUAAAAUUUUAGAUAGUUCUUGCACUUGAUGAAGUUGAAACUUGAUAUACAUUAGAGCAAUUUUUAUCAAUUAGUUGAGCAUAAAAUUAAUUGAGAAGAUUUGCAACCUCAAGAGAAUUAGUUUUGAAAAGGACGCUUAGUUACGUCAAGAACACUUUGAGUUCGUACUUGAACUUCAAAAAAUCAACAUCAAAUACUGGAGUUUUACGUUCAAAUUUCUUGAACCUGACCCCAAUUCCUUAUGAACAGACUGGUAAAUUUGUAGUCAUCAGCACCAUUAACGGCAACUAAAGGCCAAAGGCAAAGACUCCAGCAAAUAGACCAAGGCCUUGUAGUCAUCAGACCCUUGAUUCAUCAAUGAAAGUUGGGGUUCGACCAUAAAAUCAAUUGGCAAUAUGGGGAGUAGACCAACCUCUUAUAAGCCCAUACAAGAUCCCUCCUCCCAUCAAUGUGGGACUCAUUCUUAACACGCUCCCUCAUGUGUGGCGAAUUUUCAAGCAUUACACAAUGGGAUGACGUGGAGCACGUGUCGCAGUUUGACUUUACACAUGGGACAACCUGCUCUGAUAUCAUAAAAAAAGUUGAAGUUCCACCAUAAGCCGUUCGAACUUCUUUGUGCACAAACUCCUCGGCAAAAACAAAACAAGCAUAGCAUUCGGGCUAGACUGAUUGAUGAAGUUUACUUUGAGUCAUCAACUUGUGGAAUGUGCCUGGAAAUUUGUCUCCCUUCCAAACUCCCAUCCUAACGAUUUCAACAAACUGCACAUCCAGGACAUCCCGAACGUCUUCUAUAUAAACCGGUAAUAUCAUGCUUGCUUCUUCACAUCCAGCUGGCCAAUCACUACUUGAAGCACAGAGCGCCCUCUCAUCACCGGUGGUUCUUUGCGAGCAAUGGCUUUUGAAAGAAAACUUUUGAUUGUUACCAUACUCAUCACCUUGGGGACUUUGGCAUCUGAAGCCACGUCCUACACAUUGUACCAAGCUUCCAUUGCUGCAAAACAUGAGCAGUGGAUAAAAAAGCAUGGACGAGUUUACCAGGACAGCGUGGAGAAGGAAAGGCGUUUCCACAUAUUCAAAAACAAUGUGGAGUUUGUCGAGAAAUUCAACAGUGAAGGGAACAUGACUUACAGCCUUUGCGUCAACCGAUUUUCGGAUAUGAGCUAUGACGAAUUCCUCAGGUAUUAUACUGGAUACAAGCAGCCCACUGAAUCAACCUCAUCCGCAGAUGCAUCAUUUACGUACGAAAACCUAAGCCCGACGGAUGUUCCCCCAAGCAUUGACUGGAGGGACAAUGGAGCUGUUACUCCAGUAAAAGAUCAAGGGCGCUGUGGUAAGAGCACCAACCGCCAUAUUAACAUAGGGCAAAGCUUCCUAGUACAUAUGUAUGUAUUACAUUAAUUACUUUCUUCGUGCAUUCAUUCUUACGGAAAUUAAUUCAUAUCCGUUUGUUCGAAUACAUGCAGGUUGUGUCUGGGCAUUUUCCGCAGUGGCAGCAGUCGAAGGGAUCAUCCAAAUCAAAACCGGCAAAUUGAUAUCACUGUCUGAGCAACAACUUGUGAGCUGUGAUACAAUUAACAAUGGCUGCCAAGGUGGUUCGAUGGAUAAAGCCUAUGCAUACAUUCAACAAAACGGAGGAAUUACCAGUGAAGAAAAUUACCCAUACCAGAGUUUAAAUGGCAGUGCCGGAACAUGUGAUAUGAACAAGGCAUAUAAGGCUGCUGCCCGGAUAACUGGUUAUGCAGAGGUACUUUCCAUCAAUGAAACCGAGCUACUCAAGGCUGUGUCCAUGCAACCAGUCUCUGUUGGCAUCCAUGCCUCACCAGCCUUUCAGCAAUAUUCAGGCGGGGUGUUCACCGGUGAUGAUUGUGGGACAGAAUUGAACCACGCUGUUACCAUCAUUGGGUAUGGGACAACUGAAGAUGGCACCCCCUAUUGGUUAAUCAAGAAUUCAUGGUCCGAUACGUGGGGUGAGAAUGGCUACAUGAAGAUUCUUAGAAACGCUGAUGCCCCAGGUGGUGUUUGUGGCCUCGCUACGAGAGCUUCCUAUCCGACUACAAGUACUACAGACCAACCCAUAGGCUGUGAAAAUGCCUGUAUUUUUUACUUGAUAAAAGUAUGAACUAUGAAAUUGCACUAUUUUACCUUUAUAUUCAACAAUGAAUUUUCCUACCCUGCUUAGGCUAAAUUAAUAACCACAGCUGCAACGGCAGUUUGCUGGAUUAUGCCUUCGAAUACAUAUAGCAAAAAAGAGCAAUUGACAAAACAAGCAUGCUUCCCAGAUAACUGGUUAUGGAACGUGCCUUCCACAGUGAAAACGACCUAUUGAAGGCUGUGUCUCCAUGACAAGCCUUUCAGUUUCCUAAGGUGGGAUUUUCUCCAAUGAUUGUGGGACAGAACUGAACCACGCAUUUGCAACCAUCGGCUAAGGAGUGAAUAAAGACGGCACCAACUAUUGGUUGCUCAAGAUGGGAUGGGAGGUGGGGUGAAGUGAGAAUGGCUAUAUGAAAAUUUGCAGAAACAUGCCAUUGUAUCUUUGUUGGCUGGCUAUGGAUUCUUCUUAUCAAACUAUCUAAACUAUAGAUAUAAUCAAGGGGUUGAGAGAUCAUCUCGACUUCACCUAACAAGACAAAUCUACCAGGCUUCGCCUAUAGCCAAGAAAAUUUCUUUUAGUAGCUAAUCCAUACCAUUCAAUAAACUUUCGGGAUCUUAUAAAACAUUAUUGAAAACAGGAUAAUCUAUACAUUUCAUUUGGUAUUUUGAUAAAUUUAGUGAUAUGGAUAACCGAAAAUGAUUUCUUACAACAAAGCUAACAGAACAAAAUGGAUAUGCAAAAUGGGUUCUGAUUCAAACAAAACCAAAUUAGCCUUUCCAAAUGAAACAAUACAAAAGGUAUCAUGAGAAAUAAGUUUGAAAUUCUGCCUUUGUUCACAAGAAUAAGCUAUUGGACAUCAUUAUCUUACAUGCCAUAGCACUUACCUAAUAAACUGAAUAUGAAAAGACGCAAUCAAGCACGUUUUCCUGGGAUUGCUCUUCGUGCAGAGGACCUUCUACCCCUUAGCACGUCGGCGCUUCAUCAUUGCUCUCCCACCAGUGGUUCUCAUGUGUCUACGGAAGCCAUGGGUUCGAGCCAAGGAUUUCCUGGACCUACUUCUCUUGGUUAGACACAGGGCAGCCUUCCCGACCCUCACCACCAAGCCAGAGCCUCUUCUUCUUCCAACCCCAACACUAGAGCUCAAAUCCAACUGUUCGUCUUGAGGAAUAUCCAGUGAGGACGUUUCCUGGCCAACGAGCACACAGCUUCCCGAGAGGUUGGCGUCGGUUGAUAUUGUCUGUCGAGCUUCUGCUUAUUGGCGGGCUGUAAGAGAAAGACAGAGUUAAUCCUGAAAUGUGCCUUUGUGGGGCCUUAGGUGUAGGCCUUGAGGCUCACAAUCAAAAUUAACCUUUAGGUGUUCAGGCGUGCCACUGCCAUCUUUAGCAUGACAGAUGUAAAACAGAUGUUUAGUUUGAUUAAAUAUGCUCGAGUUUAGUAAUGAAAUGUGUCUUUGUGGGCCCUUUGGUGUAGGCCUUGAGGCUUCCAAUCAAAACUAACCAAGUACUUGAACAUAUAUUGGUUGUUUCAUUGUUGCAGAAAUCUCACGACCGUUAUACUUUAAUCGCCCAAGCCCGUAGAGCAGAACGAACUCAGAUAGGUGCCUUUAUCGGGCCUUAGGUAUAGGCCUUGAGGCUUCCCAUCAGAAUUAAUUCUAUACUCAAGCGUUCUGUAACAAUCAUGAUAUAACAGAAGUAAGACUAAGCGUUCUGUAACAAUCAUGAUAUAACAGAAGUAAGACUAAGAAAUAGGCUAAUUACUUGCGCCCCAAGUAACUUCGGACUUCUUGUUAUCAAGGACUGUCGUGGAUGGGUUAAGUCCACAUAGGGUUCUUUUUUAUGCCUUGAGACCAAGGACUUUUAAUUGAUCAAUCUUGUCUGCCCGAAUGGUUAGAACUUAGAAGUCUUUUAAUCAUAAACUGGCUAGAAAUAAUUUGGAUGCAGAUGGAAAUAUACAUCAUAUUACUAGAUUUAUGAAUGAAAGACAAAAACCAAGGAGGUCGGGCAAGGCUGGUCGUCUUGCAACUUCCUCUCUUUGUGAUUUACAAAGGGUUUGAGUGCUAGAAGGGUAGGUUGGAAGAUGAGUUUACAAGAGAGAAUCGAUACUACAACAAGAUUUAAACAAGGUAGCAAAGCUUUUACAAAGGCUUUCUGGUGAAGGUUGAUCCCGAAAUGGAUGAAAGCUUGGGGGCUGACUACAGCUUCGUGAAGGCAAAUCUAGUUUGAGCAGAGUUUGUGCUUGUGUUUGUUUGUUUGAUUGAGUGUCCUUGUCUCUGGUUUUUCUUCCUCCUUUUAUAGACGAUUUGGCUUGGCUGCCUGCAGUAUUGAUUUUGCCCGAAUGCAUCUGAAGGAUAGUGACUCAUCAACUUUUUACUUGUACUGCCAUUGUAAAGUACUUUUGGGCUGAUUAGCUGGCUGGUCUACACCACUUGACCUCUAGGUAGGUGAGCAGGUAGUUUAAAUGAUCUGCACUUGGUCGGGAAAAAGGCCCUUUCUUUCUUUUAGUCUUUGGCUGGGCCUUGGGCUUCUUGCUUUCCAUUCCUUCGUCUGGGCUAACUCCAUUUUGAGCCCCAAGUUCAAGUUUUAACCCAAACAGUGCCCCCUUCAAUUAAUAUUCAAGCUGGAAUUCCAGGCGUCAAUAUUAAUUGAAUAUCCGCAUGCCUGUAUACCUGCUCUCGGAACUUGUGUUUUCUAGACGGGAUGAAUGCAAUCUUGCAUCUCUUACUCUUCUCACAACCUUUGAGCUAUCCUCUGAGGUUCCUAUAAAUUUCGGCUCAAAACUUCUCCUGCCCAGCCAACAGAUCAUCUUCAACCUCUCCCUUUAUCUGCCUCGGGCGAUUCUGUCUAAGUUUCUUCUAAAACUGGAAAAUGGGUUCCUCAGGAUUCAAGUGGGGUUUCCUAAAACUCCCUUUUCGUAAGAAAAAAGAUUUUCAUCAAAUAUCUACUAUCUCCAACACCUUUGGUCAGACACCCCGCUAUCCCCAACACCUUUGGUCAGGCGGUUUCCUUCUGAGGGCUUGCCCUCCUGCUCGUUGCUUUGAUAACUCGGGCUUCAUCGUCAUCUGGUGACGAUCCUUAUUGAGGGUCCUCUACCAGGCUCAUCUUGGCCGCACAACCCGAUCACCUGACCAAGUUUUGUCCAUGAAGAUACCAGAAAACUAGUCGAGACACCACUGUAACUUAGAAGGAAUCAAGCAUGGCACAUUGGGACUUAAACCGAUGUAAUUUUUACCAAUUCGUCGAAAUGAAUGAAACAUCAUGUUAACAACUUUUAUCUUUAUGCUUUCUUGAAUGGUUGAUGAACAAAUACUGUACUCCGGCACCCCGGAGCUUGCUUUAUCUUACUCUUCAUCAAUAUAACAAUCCCUAACAUCCCACAGUGUAGGACAGUACUUUUUUAAGAAUUUGACAUUGAUGGGAUGUUUCUGCCAAUUUCCUUCGAUGUCAGCCAAGUAGUAUCCUCCCUCAUCUAAUACUUGAUUAACAAUAAAAAGACAUUCCCAUGUCGGGCUCCAUUUCCCAAAACCCCUAAGCUGAGCUCCUAGAGGGAUGACUGCCUUCCAUACUAAAUCUUCUUCCUUGAAAGACUUUAGUUUUACCUUCUUAUUAUACGAUCGGGCAACAGCUCUCUUCCCUUCCUAAAUCUGGUUCAAGGCCUCAAUUCGGACUACAUCUAAAUCUUCAAUCCCUUGACACAUAGCUUCUAUGUACUCUUCACUAUGUAACCCGAAUUGAUUUUGAAUCCUGACAGAACUUACAUUGAUCUCAAUGGGAAGAACCGCAUCUUGCCCGAAUGUUAAAGCAUAAGGAGUUGUCCCUGUUCCUACCCUCUUAGAGGUUCGGUAUGCCCACAAAGUAUUCCCUAGCUUUUCAUGCCACUUUUCCAGACUAUCGAUCACCAUUCUUUUGAUAAUCUUUAUCAAAAUCUUGUUGCUGGCCUCUGCUUGACCAUUUGACUGAGGGUAGUAAGGACUGGACUGGAUCAUCUUUAUUUUGUAUUUGUUUGCAAAUUCUUCAACUUCUUUUGAUAUAAAAGAUGGCCCACGAUCCAUGACUAUGGUUUCAGACACCCCAAACCUGUGCAGAAUCUUGGUCUCAAUAAAUUUCUUGACUGCAGCUAAAGUUAUGGUCUUUAUAGCCGAGGCUUCUACCUAUUUGGUGAAGUAAUCCGUCACCACAAUUAUGAAAGUAUGCCCCUUGCCAGAUGAUGGAUAAAUCUGCCCGAUGAAGUCCAUUGCCCAUCCUCUAAAGGGCCAAGGUUUAACCACCGGAUUUAAAUGUACUGAAGGCACAUGUUGGAGAGGUUCAUGCCUUUGACAUUCCUCAUAGCCUCGAGCAUAAAACUUGCAGUCUUUUUCUACGUCGGGCCAGAAAUACCCAUACCUCCUAAUCAACCACCUCAUCUUCGUUCCAGCUUAAUGUGCCCCACAUAUCCCUUCAUGUACCUCGGCCAUUACUCUCAUAGAUUCCUCUUGGCCUAGACAUUUCAGUAGUAGCCCAUCCGGAGUUUUCCUUAGCAGAUUCUUCUCCCAUAAAACAUACUUAGUUGCUUGCUGUCUAUUCUUCUUGCUUGUGGGUGAAGAAGGAUCUUUCAAAUGAUGAAUGAUAUGCGAUCUCCAGUCUUCCGUCUCAGUUUCUAGAACUAUUACAUCUAGACUGAAUCCUUUUUCUAGGAUAGAAGGAAGAUUUCUUCUUUCAAUUUCGACAUCUACUACAUACCUCAUUUCCUAGAUUGGUACUCCCGAGGCUAUUUGCCCCAUCUCAUUGGCCGCCAUAUUAGAUUCCCUGGGAACAUGAUUAACUGAUACUUCGGAAUCCCAAUAGCUCAACAAUUGCGUGGCCGCCAAGUAAUACCCAGCCAUGGUGAUAUGUCUGCACUUGUAUUCUCCAUUUAGCUGGUUUAUUACUAACUUUGAAUCAUCAAACACUUCUACCUCCGUUGCCCCCAGCUCUAUCAAAAUCUCCAAGCCAAUUAUUAAGGCUUCAUAUUCCACCUGAUUGUUGGUAUUCCCUUAGUAAUCUAGAAGGAACGAGUAAUAGUGGUGAACCCCUUGGGGAUUUAUGAUGACAUCUCUGCUCCAGAAGCAUUCUGAGUGUAAGAACCAUCAAAAUAAAGCCUUCAAGGAGUAAUCCAGAUACCAGUUACCCUUUUUAUUUCUUGUUGGACCCACUCUUCUUUGCCCGAGAUGCCCUUGCCUGGUGGGAUCCAAACAUUAGUUACUUUCAGGAUCCCCGGUAUAUUGACAAUCUCAUCUUGAGACUCUUAGUGCUCUGCUAAGAAGUCAGCAAUUGCUUGGCCCUUGACCGCCAUUUGGGGUACAUAUUGAAAGCUGAACUCUGAUAAUGCUAUAAUCCACUUCCCAAUCCUUCAUGUUAGCAUUGGUUUUGACAACAUAUACUUUAUCACAUCUGUUUUGGCGAUGAUGUGCACGUGACAAGGUAACAUGUAAUGCCUCAACUUACUAGCAGUGAAAUACAGAGCUAGGCAUAACUUUUCUAUUGGGGAGUAUCUUGUUUCUACCUCAGUCAGAAUUCUACUAAGGUAGUAUACUGCCUGCUCCUUUCCGCCUUCAUUGUUUUGGGCUAGUAAACUCCCGAUUGAUUUCUCUAAAGCAAAGAUAUACAGCUUUAAGGGUUUUUCCCUUUGAGGUGGUACCAACACUGGUGAAGAAGUCAAAUAGGCUUUGAUGCUGUCAAAAGCCUUUUGGUGUGGUGCUCCCCAUUCAAAAUUUUCUUUAUCAUUCAGUCUCAACAGAGGAGUCAACGACUGAAUCUUGCCCGCUAAAUUGGCAAUGAAUCUCCUUAAGAAAUUAAUUUUACCUAGCAGUCUCUGAAGUUGCACCUUGUUGGUGGGCGGAAGCGACUCCAUUAUUGCCCGAGACUUGUUCUUGUCUACUUCUACACCUCUUUGAUGAACCAGGAACCCUAAGAAGUUGUCCUCCAAAUGCACACUUCUUUGGAUUCAUCUUGAGUUUAUGGAUCCUCAUCCUUGUCAAUGCUUGCCUGAGGUCUAUCAGAUGCUGCUCUUCUGUUUUGGAUUUCACCACGAUGUCAUCGAUGUACACCUCCAUGUUAUGGCCAAUCAAAUCAUGAAAAAUAACAUUCAUCGCCCUUUGGUAGGUUGCACCAGCAUUCUUGAGCCCGAACGGCAUGACUAGAUAUUCAUAUGCCCCCACAUGACCAGGACACCUAAAAGCUGUUUUAUGUAUAUCUUCAUGGGCCAUCUUUAUCUGAUUAUAGCCGGCAUUUUGGUAGUAAUUAUAACGCACCACAAAGUAGCCCACAAUAAUCCUAUUGAUUUUCCUUAUUAACACUAAAAUUUGUCGAUUGUAGCAUAUAAAAAUAAGGGUCUUUCCCGCAGAAGAUUGUUUUAUCCAAAUACUUAAAAUGUCACAAAAACAGGGUGGCUAUCUCCACUGACCAGCCACCGAACAAUAAUUAUUAUACUAACUUACACUUAUCCAAAUGCAACGAAAUUUUAUACACAUAAACUAGACACACCAAGCUAUGCUCACACAAAUUUUUGGGAUUUUUGGAGUUGAUUAGCUAUUUAAAUUAAAUCGGACAAAACAGGACCUCAACAAGUUUUAAAUAAUACCAAUAGAUUUUAAUUCACAAGUUAAGAAAACGAGUUAGGGGACAUGCUAUCCACCACCAAAUAAUCAUGCAAGCAUGUUAUGUUUCAUUCAAAUCCCUUUUAUUUCCGGAUGAAGAUGCUCAAGUUGGCUCACUGUUAGAACUCAACCUAUAACUCUUUCUUACGUAGUAUGUUAAGAGAAUGGCGUUUUCAACUUAACUUAGUCCCUAGCAUGCAAUCUAGAUUGGCGUGUUCAUAGAUUUAACAAGUAGAAAUCAUUAAGAAUAAAAAGAGUUUGAGUCAUCACAAGGCAUCGUAAGCACUGGCGUUGUCUUACUUAUCCUAGAAAUCCGUUCACAUGUUAACCACAAUGAACAAGUGCUACUCUAGAACAUAUGUAGGUCCUCAUUCAACAAGGGCAGGUAAACAUAUAUUCAUAGCAUUAAAAUCCUAGAUAUGCUCACUAUGUAUGCAUCCAUAGAAACACAUAAAGAAUUUAUCAAUGACAUAAGUAGUGAAACAAUUUUCAUCCUUUCAUAAAAGUCAUUCAAACAAAAUAUCACAACAAACUUACAAUCAUAUUCGGGGCUUCAAAACAGCCCCUAACUACUAAAAAUUAGUUACACAUAAUUAUGUGAAUACAUAAGUAAUUAUCCAUAAAGAAAAUAACAAAGAAAGAAAACACCCGUUUUUGGUUCCUCCUCUGCGCCCUCUGCUUCUGUCAGUCCCCUCUGCUUCUGUCCGUCAGUCUCUGCCUAGCUCCUGACUUCCCUCUGCGUUCACUUCCCCCUCUCUCUUGUUUCUGUCGGUCUCCUCUGCUUCUCUGUGCGCUCUGUUUUUCUGCGCUCUCCCUCUCCCCUUUAUUUUCUGCUCAUCUGCUUCUCCCUAUUCUUCUGUCGCCUGUCAGUCUCUUUUUUAUUCUGUCAGUUUUUCUUUGCUUUUUAUCCCGCACUCCUCACUCCCUCUCCUGCUUUUUGUUCCACUUCCAUCCCAUGCGCACUCCACUUCCUUCCCAUUUCUUUAUUUUCUGUUUUUCUUUCUCUGCUUUCUGCUCAGUGUCUUCCCCACUCCCUGCUUAUUAUUCUUCUUUUCCUUUUCUUAUUCCUUCCACUUUUCUUUGUCUACUGUUUUUUUUUCUUUUCUUUCUGUCUGUUCUUUCCAGCCCGUGUCUCUCUUCCUUCGUCAAAAGGCAGCCAUUUCAAUUCACACUUAGUGCUCCACUUCCUAGUGCUCCACCUUUUAUUCUUUUAUUUGUUUUUCUAUUUCUUUUAUUCCAUUUUGCUUGAAAUUUAUCCUAAAACAAAAUUAACUGCACAUUAACACAAGGUAAGGUAAAAUGCUACAAUUUUAACACAAAAACAUCACAAAGACUUUAGAAAUGGAUGAUAUAAACGCAUGAAAUAUAUGAGUGAUCACAUUUCCAUCCAUAAAAGAUAAGACUUUAUGUUUUGCUACUGCAUCUGUGGACAGAUCAGCCAUGGGCAUGGGAUAUUCAUCUUUUGGUGUGGCACCAUUAAUAUUUCUGUAAUUAACGCAACAUCGUACUGCUUUUGUUAUGGCUUUUAAAAAGAGUACAAUGUUGGCCAACCACUCUACAUUUUUGGCAGGUCUAAUAAAUCCAGCUUUCACUAGUCUUUCAAUUUCUUCUUUGACAUUUUCUUCUAUUUCUUUUGACAUCCUUCGUGGUGCUUGCUUAACAGGUUUAUAUCCCUCCUUGAUGGGCAUUCUGUGUUCUACCAAGGUUGAAUCUAAACCUAGCAUCUCAGUAUAACGCCAAGCAAAACAAUCUUUAAAUUCUUGCAGAAGACAGACAAUCUUUGCCUAAUCAUUAGUUUCUAAUAAGCCACUGAUUUGUAUAGGUCUUGGAUCUCCUUCUAUUCCCAGAUCAAUAACUUCCAAAGGAUCUUGAACUUCUGGUGGUGGCUUGUCAGGUUCUGCACACAAAAAUUCGACUAACUCCGGGCUUUCGGGCAAGUCGUCUGGCCUAUCCAAGUCAUAUAUGCACUCGGCCAUUCGUAUAUCCACCUCCAAUUCUUCUCCGCAAAGUUCUUCCCUGCUUUUAUCCUGGCCGGUCAAAGUUCCUAGCUGCCAUUCCUACUCUUCUUUUCCUAAAAGUUCCCUUUCUUGUUUUCUCUCUAUCCUAUACACCAACAGUCUUUUGAUCAGGGACCAGACUGCCGUUACCUGAUCCUUUCUCUUUUGUUCUGUCAUUGAUGGUGUUGAGGUGUUGGGACAAUACAGGGUCUAUCCAAUUCUUCUCUAGUGAGGAACUUUCCUUGUUCUAAGAGCUUUUGGGCCGUCACCUUGGUAGGGUGGCUGUUCUUAUCUCCUCCUGAACAUUGCAGAAUUCCUACAUUGGGAUCGUAGAAACUUGCCUCCACUACAUUGGCUGUAGGAAGAAAUGGCCGUGAUUCGGCCUCCACCAUCUCCCAAAAGCCUGGUCCCCCUGUUCCUGCUUCAUGGUAAACAACAACUUAUUGAUGUAGAGUGGAGGGUAUGGCAAGACUUUGGUGGAUCCAGUCCCUUCCGAGUAAUGUUCCAUAAGUGGAAGUACAAUCCACCACAAAGAGUGCCAGCAUGAUUUGUUUGGAUCCCAAGUCCACUUCUAAAGGCAAUAUCCCAUGAGUGGUGAUAGCGCCGGAGAAGCUCGAAACCGUGAGGUCUGUGGGAAUGAGAUCUUCUACACUUCUCCCUAUCUUCUUCAUUUGCUUGGCUGGUAGUACGUUAACAGCCGUUCCACCAUCAAUCAAAACUCUUUUGAAGGGCACCCCUUCCAAAUGAGCUGCAACAUAUAUUGGCUUGAGAUGGUUGGCUAGCAACAUGUUUAGGCGGCUGAACACCAUUUUAUCGGUAUAGAUUCUUAAUGGACCAUCCUUGAAUGUCUUAGAUGAUUCAGCUUUUCCCAACUCUUCUUCUCUGGCUACUUCAACACUAACAUGGGCCAUCAUUGGCUCUGCUGUCAAAUAGUCACAUUCCAUAGUGGUGGGCUGAUCAGGUUCAACACCAAACAUGGCGGAUAACACAUACGUCAUGUUGAUAUGAAAGGUACUAGGCUCUGGAAAGUCUUCUUUCUUGCUCCCGAUUUGUUCCAUAAACUCAUCUAACCAGGUCAUCGCAUCUUCUAGGAGUAAUGGUUUUGGUGCCUCCUCCUGUUGAUUUAUGCCCGAAUCUGGUAUCUGCUUUAGAACUUCGCCGAAAGGAUCCAAUGAUAUAGAAGGGAGCUUUCUUUCAGGCGAAACAGUUCUAAAACAAAUAGGCUAUGUCCUUCGUCCAGGAGUUGGCCUCAUUAUCAUAUCUUCUUGAGCUCUCCUCAAUAUCCUGUACUUUCUAGGGUGUAGGCUUUGUGGUACAUGGUUUCCUUCACCUUCUGUUUUGCUAUUAGCCCUCUGCACCUCUUUUUUACUCCUCCAGUUAAACUGACUACUUCCUCAGAUGAUGUUUUUUCAAACUUUUGAUUCUUGGAAGCUUCAGAUGUCGCGGGAGUCUUUAAAGAAUUCAUGUAGGCUUUAUGCUGCCUCUGGACCCUUCUGAUCAUAGAAGCUCCCAUUUGUUUGGUAGGUUGUCCAUUUUUCCCGACCACGUACCAUUUUCGCCCAAGACGGGCAGGGUUAUCCUUUUUGACAGAAUUUGUUAUCCUAUCAUUCCUUUUAUCUUCUCUCCCUACAUGGUCAUAUUGAGGAUGCCUUAUUUCCCUCUCUUUUAUACCUUUAGCCUCCUUGUCUUCCGCCUCCUCAGAAGCUUCGUGAUUUCAAAACACUUCUGAUAAAGCUCUAGGUUGGGAAUCCCCUCCUAACCGCUGAAAAACACUUCGGGAAGUCUCUCUUCCUGCUGUCCACCUAGCUUUUUCAUGGGCCUCUUUUCUUUCUUCGUCCUCUUUCCUCCUGAUUAGCUCAUGAUCAAUAAGGACUCCUGCCGGCGGUACUUCGAGCUCACACUCACAUUGGCAUCUACUGCACAGAACCAUCCCUUUGAUUUUGGCUGCUUUUGGAUGUUCGGGCAAUUUGAUCACCCUUUUAUGGAUUUGUCAGCUGACAUUCCUUCUUCUAUCUCCUUUGCAACCUUUCAUUUCCUCUUCUCGGCCCAUGCUACAUUAAUCAUAUUAACUAGGGCUUCUGAAAAGGGGUAUGCAUGCUUGUUUAGCAUUGUUUCGACUUGCCCCUGAUAUGGGCUAGGUGGAUUAUGUGCCAAGGUCAUCUCUUCAUCUGGCUGGCUGGCCUCCAGUUUUUCUCUUUUUUCUUCCCCAUCAUCUUUCUCCCUGACUAGAAGUAAAGAUAUAGGAAUAGUUGGUUUCAUAACUGGGUCUGUUUUCCUUUUGAAGCCUGUGGAGGCGUUUUCCAAUCUUUGCAACAUCUGCAACAAGGUAGUUUGCAAAUCUUCAGGUAGCUUUGACAUAUCUCUUUGGCAAUUAGGAUUUGAUCAAUGUAUCCCACCGGGCGUGCCAAAACUAUGUUCGUCUUGAGGAAUAUCCAGUAAGGACGUUUCUUGGCCAACGAGCACACAGCUCCCUGAGAGGUUGGCGCCGGUUGAUAUUGUCUGUCGGGCUUCUGCUUAUUGGAAGUCUGUAAGAGAAGGACAGGGUUAAUCCUGAAAGGUGCCUUUGUGGGGCCUUAGGUGUAGGCAUUGAGGCUCACAAUCAAAAUUAACCUUUAGGUGUUCAGGCAUGCCACUGCCAUCUUUAGCAUGACAGAUGUAAAACAGAUGUUUAGUUUGAUUAAAUAUGCCCGAGUUUAGUAAUGAAAGGUGCCUUUGUGGGCCCUUUGGUGUAGGCCUUGAGGCUUCCAAUCAAAACUAACCAAGUACUCGAACAUAUAUUGGUUGUUUCAUUGUUGCAGAAAUCUCACGACCGUUAUACUUUAAUCGCCCGAGCCCGCAGAGCAGAACAAACUCAGAUAGGUGCCUUUAUCGGGCCUUAGGUAUAGGCCUUGAGGCUUCCCAUAAGAAUUAAUUCUAUACUCAAGCGUUCUGUAACAAUCAUGAUAUAACAGAAGUAAGACUAAGAAAUAGGCUAAUUACUUGCGCCCCAAGUAACUUCGGACUUCUUGUUAUCAAGGACUGUCGUGGAUGGGUUAAGUCCACAUAGGUUUCUUUUUUAUGCCUUGAGACCAAGGACUUUUAAUUGAUCAAUCUUGUCUGCCCGAAUGGUUAGAACUUAGAAGUCUUUUAAUCAUAAACUGGCUAGAAAUAAUUUGGAUGCAAAUGGAAAUAUACAUCAUAUUACUAGAUUUAUGAAUGAAAGACAAAAACAAAGGAGGUCGGGCAAGGCUGGUCGUCUUGCAACUUCCUCUCUUUGUGAUUUACAAAGGGUUUGAGUGCUAGAAGGGUAGGUUGGAAUAUGAGUUUACAAGAGAGAAUCGAUACUACAACAAGAUUUAAACAAGGUAGCAAAGCUUUUACAAAAGCUUUCUGGUGAAGGUUGAUCCCGAAAGGGAUGAAAGCUUGGGGGCUGACUACAGCUUCGUGAAGGCAAAUCUGGUUUGAGCAGAGUUUGUGCUUGUGUUUGUUUGUUUGAUUGAGUGUCCUUAUCUCUGGUUUUUCUUCCUCCUUUUAUAGACGAUUUGGCUUGGCUGCCUGCAGUAUUGAUUUUGCCCGAAUGCAUCUGAAGGACAGUGACUCAUCAACUUUUUACUUGUACUACCAUUGUAAAGUACUUUUGGGCUGAUUAGCUGGCUGGUUUACACCACUUGACCUCUAGGUAGGUGAGCAGGUAGUUUAAAUGAUUUGCACUUGGUCGGGAAAAAGGCCCCUUCUUUCUUCUAGGCUUCGGCUGGGCCUUGGGCUUCUUACUUUCCAUUCCUUCAUCUGGGCUAACUCCAUUUUGAGCCCAAAGUUCAAGUUUUAACCCAAACACCAACCCCAAAGAUAAACCUUCAAAUUGAAAAUCAAGUUCUUAUCAAUUCAUGGCCUAAAGAAAUAUCAUUUGGCAAGCUCUUCAAUAGAAACCAAAUAAAGGUGCCAGCUUUUUUCAUUUUUGCGGAAGUAUUAGUAUCGGGAGAUGGACCCACUGCAUAUACAUAUAUAUGUUCUAUCCACUUCUCUGGUAUAACCCAGAAUCGUACAGCUUCAACUUCGGGUGAUUGACCAUGGUUUCUUCACUGGUGUAACCCACUGCCGUACAACUUCACCUUUGGUGAUGGUUAUGCCUUCGGGCCACUAUGAUACCCCGAGUGAGUACAGUAUAGAUGAUAUAUACGGAUUUUCCUUCGGGCGGCGUUAGCAUCAUUAUUGAGCAUUAUUUUACACGUACUUGUUUUACGAAUGUUUUCAUGGCAUGCUAGAGCUUUCAGAAAACCUAUUAUGUCGUAUUAUGUGUUUUUAAAACAGAGGGUUAGUAUGUUCAUAAAGAAAAUGGUUUUCUUAUUAUUAGCACUAUUAUUAUAAACUUUGGUUUACCCACUCUUUUGGUUUUGCGCCCCUUCAGGAGUUAGAAUCGAGGCACACGAUCCCGGCAUCAGGGCACGUCCACUUAGGUAUCUUCGAGUCUUCUCAAGGUAGGACCCAUUCCUCUGUUCGUACCUUUUAAUAAUAAUUCUUUCAUAUUAUUAUUGAUUAGUUGUAUGCUCUGAACACGAUUCUGAGUUGGUAUAUUUCUUUCUAAUUACAUAUUUUAAUUAUAUGCAUGUUUAAAAUGGAUUCAUUGCCCUCGAGUGUCGGCCAGCACGUGCUUUGACGUAGGAAAAGCCAAGGGAGUCUCAGGGAGACGGGGGAUGAUAACCUAGGAUUCGCUCAACUAGGGGCGACGGAGCUCGCUCACGUCGCUAAUCGUGGAUUCUCUCACACGACCAAGCCAAAUGCUUGAUUUUAGAAUGAGAAAUCACUCUCUUCAAAUGUACAAGGCAAAUACAAUUUUAAUUCAUUCAAGUCUGGCAUUCAAGGCUUUCUAGUACAAUAUUUAUAAGCGUUUACAAAUUAAUAGACUUUAAGUUUCUAUGACAUCCUUACAACUCCCAAAAUAACUUAACAAAUUCCUAAGUAAUUAAAAUACAAAACCCUUGUUAUUCCAAUGCAUAUUAAUGGUUUCAAAUUGUUUUCUCCAAGUCUACUUCCUGCAUCAUGCUUACCCUGAUAUUUGGGGAUAUCGGAUCGGCGCGUGUCAAAAUAUGUGAUUGGAGACAUGUUUUUGUAGAGUGAGAUUAAUGGUACUAGUCCAGCAAUCACCAUGAAGGUUUAGAAAAUCCAUUUCCUAAUCAUGCCAAGACAUUUUGUUUCAUUUCAUCUUCAACUUUCUCAAGCUAGGAAUCCACCGCAGAUAGCUCUUUCAGCUUCUCUUUCAUUUCAUCUUCAACUUUCUCAAGCUAGGAACCCACCACAGAUAGCUCCUUCAGCUUCCAAUGGCAGCUAAUUCUCAUCCACUACUUGUAUCAGAUUCCAAUCAAUUGAAACACGACAGGGUUGUUAUCUAUGACAAAAAGAAAUCCCUCGAAUCACAGGAUAAGACGCAAAAUGCACAUCCAGGACAUGCUGAACGUUUUCUAUAUAAACUGGUUAUCAUGCUUGCUUCUUCACAUCCAGCUUGCCAAUUACUACUUGAAACAAAGCAAAGCCAUUGUCGACACAGAGCGCCCUCUCAUCAUCAGUGGUUCUUUGCGACCAAUGGCUUUCGAAAGAAACCUUUGAUUGUUACCAUACUCAUCACCUUGGGGACCUUGGCAUCUGAAGCCACGUCCCGCACAUUGUACCAAGCUUCCAUUGCUGCAAAACAUGAGCAGUGGAUGAAAAAGCAUGGACGCGUUUACCAGGACAGCGCGGAGAAGGAAAGGCGUUUCCACAUAUUCAAAAACAAUGUGGAGUUUGUCGAGAAAUUCAACAGUGAAGGGAACAUGACUUACACAGCCUAUGCAUCAACCGAUUUUCAGAUAUGACCUAUGACGAAUUCCUCGGGCAUUAUACAGGAUACAAGCAGCCCACUGAAUCAACCUCAUCCGCAGAUGCAUCAUUUACGUACGAAAACCUAAGCCCGACAGACGUUCCCCAAAGCAUUGACUGGAGGGAGAAUGGAGCUGUUACUCCAG